rnacentral:lncRNA from 1 species
UUUUUUUUUUUUUUUUUUUGAUACAAUAGUAGCUAAUCUACUCCUAAUCCUAACUCAACACCAUGUGAAGUAAGGUGUGGCCAAAAAAGUAUGAUUGAGCUAGGCGAUUAGAUCCGCUAGACUGAAGGUACUAUGGGAAAUGGGUGGCAAGAAGGGUGCAUUUGAGCAUCUUCUGGAUUAAAUGCAAACCCAGAAAUUCGACCACCUAAAACAUAAACUAAUAAAGAAUUUAAAGGUACUAUUACAUACUCUGAUAGAAUGACAUAUAUCAUUAGUAGUGCAAUUAAUUCAGAAGAUGCUCAAGUGCUUUUAAUUCAUUUUGCACAAACAAUUGUUAGAAUAGGAGAUGUCAGUUAAUCUAAAGUUGGUACAGGAGAACUAAAAGUUGGGGGAGGGAUAGUUUAAGUAAAAAAUAAUUGUUAGGAUAACCAUUCUUUGAUGGAUUUGGGUUUAUUUCCUUCUAAACUUUUUUGCCUAAAAAGUUGUUAGAAUUCGAGGGCGAUUUAAUAUAAGAUUGUCAUUAGAGCAUUCAAAGUGGAUCAAAGGGGUGUUUAAGUGAAAUAAAAUUUUUAGAAUAUCAAAUUUUUAGUUGUAUGAAAUUUUGGUAGUUAAUCUACUAAAUUUUUUUCGAAUAAUUGUUAGAGUAGGGAGGGUAUUCUAAUAUAAAGUUGGUAUAGAAGGACUUUAAAAAAAAUUGGAGGGUAGGAAAGGGGGUUUAAGUUCAAAAUUAACUCCUAAAUGGGAAUUAUCUUUAUUGAUGUGAGGACUCGAAAAUCUAUUAUUUUAAAAUCCCUAAUUUUGGCUUAAUUAAUUAUUUAUUUGGAUUUUUGCCACGAAUAAUAUUUUCUAGCCUUAUUAGACAUAAGUACGUGGUUUUAAAGUUUCGUUAUAUUUUUAAAGUGUCUCGUUUCAAAAAUUAUUUUCUUAAAAGCUUGAUUAGUGGAAAAGUGAAAACGUGUCUGAAAACUUUAGCCAAUUGGAAGUACAAUAAGCUUGAAAAUUUGGAGACAUGUACAAUGGUCCUAAAAUAGGAAAUUUUAGGUUUAAACACUCAAGUGAUAGUUAGUAGUACGAUCGUUAUAAGAAUUUCACGAAGGUUUCAUUUUAUCGCGCCUAAAUUGGAAAUACGCGUUUUCACGCGCACGCUUAAUUGAGGGACUUUGGACCAUUAUUUUGGGACAAUUAAGAAUGAAUAAUAUUUAUAUGAAUGUAAGUGCCUUAGAGGUUUAGUGCACUAGUGCAACAAAUUUAAAAUAAAUCGAGCACAAAACACGAGCGUAAACGCACUAUUUGCGGUUGACUUUUGCGCACCUAAACUAUUAGACGUUAAGCUUUCUUUGUACGCCAAAUAGUCAGACCAAACAUCUCAUUUCUCCAAGCUUCCAUGGCCGGCUAGCAGCUGCAAAGAAACAACCAAAACUCUUCAACAUUUCCCUCUACAAAUCUCUACCCAAUUCUCUCAAAUUUUAACACUACUUAGCCUAAGACUUGGAGUUCAUAUCUAGCUAAAAGGGGGGACUUUUCACGGCUCACUUAGGAGCAAGGAGGGACCGAAAUUUCUGAGUUGUUCAUCAACUAGAGUAAGUCAUGAUCAAGCUUUCUAAUUUCAGUUUUUGCAAGUUCUAGUAUACCUUUUAGCUCUUAAUUUCCUAUGGGUUGUUGUUGUUGUUGAAAAAAAUGGAAGGUGGGCUCUAUGAACUCCCACCUCUGUCUUGAUGGCUGAUAUGGUGAUUGAUGCUAUUUAUAAUGUUGGUUUAGUGUUUGAAAUGGUGGAUUAAUAGAGUAUAAUUAGCAGAAAUCUCAAGGAACUCAUGGAAUAGAAAUUUCUGAUUUUGCCCCUGCCCUGUUCGGUUAUUUUAAGGCCAAUUUUAGAUGAUCUAAUGGCUUGAAUAUGAUGUUUAUAUGUUGUAUUAGUUGUGUAAAAAUUUUCAUUGGAAAAUAUUGAAGUUUGGUUGGGCAAAUGAAUUUUUUUUUGUGAAACUAGUCAAGCUGGAAAACUGUUUCCGUGUAGCUCUGUCCAGCGAUAGUGUUUCGGCCGUAACUUUGUCCUCCGACGUCGAAAUCGAGUGUCGUUGGUGGCAUUUGAAACUAGACAUCCACACCUUUCCAACGGUAUAAAAUGUACGUUUUGGUUCCAAGUGUGUGAGCCAAACCAAUCGUUUUAAGAAGGCUACCCUGUUUCUCUGUUCUGCUGAAAUGAUUUGAUGAUGCUGCAACUUUAGGCUUAAUUUUGAGCCAGUUGCAUGCUGAAACUUAAAAUGAUUUCUUCUGUGAAAUUAUAGCCCUAUGAAUGUAUUUUCCAACACUAUCAAACAUGCUCAAUUCCGAGUUAAAUUGAGUGAGUCAUGAACAAAAUUUGGUGACUGUUUUGUUCUUGAAAACUCUUAGAUUUGGACAGAUUAGAUAUGAGACUUGUUGUGGUCUUACUAAAUGAAUUUCUUGGUGCUAAACACCUACCAAAUGUACCAUGUAUGCUCCUUAGACUUUUCUUGCACAAAUGAACCAUGUUUGGAGGUUUUCCUUAGCCGAAUGUUUGGAAACGGAGAGAAAUGGAGCUAAAGGCAGUUUUGCCUUAGUAAUUUCAAAACUUUGGUUGAUUGGUUAACCACCUUCCCGAAGGUAUUUUUCCACGAAAUUUGAUAGAGAGAUACCCUUCAUAUAGGAGUACUAUACUGCAAAAUUUGGUACCAAUCCAAGUCCGUUUCGACACUUAACUAAAGGUCCAAAGUCGGAAACCCAAAUCUGGAAAUUUGUUCAACAGUCUUGAAUUUUUCCCAACUUUGAGCUACCAUAUCUGGGUGCUCGAAACUCCGAGUCUCGAUCCGCUUGUUCUGUCCUAAACCUUACUUUCACCUCUAAUUGAUUUAUAAAUUUCAAGGGCUGGUUUACAACGAGUGAAUUCUGCCGAAUUUCCAAAGUUAGCGAAAAACCAACCCCGGCUCAAUCCUGGGUGUUCUGGAACAGUAACUUUAAGCUCAUUUUUGAAUACCUUCCACUUAGAUUCAUGAAACAGUGUCUUCUAAGAACUUUUAGUACUUUCCAAGAGGUUUCCAACGGUAUAAAGUUUUCCAAUUUUAGACUUGUAUCGAGUGAGAUACGAUUUUUUCAAAGAUCCAUAUCAAAACUGAAAUUUUCCAACUUUCAAGGAAAUAGAGUUUUCCAAGAACUCUUUAUUCUUUCGACAUUAUGCAAACGUUUUAACCUCGAUUUCCAAGAUAAAAAUCCAAAUGCUCUUGUACUUUAAGAAACUCUAAUUGAAUCUCGAUUUACGAGUAAUUGAGAUUCGAUUUCAUGAAAUUUCCUUAGAUUAUACUGGUGUACAAUCUUCCUUGAUAAUUGGGAUAUAGUGUCAAGUGUUUGACUAUUUGAACUCUAUGGACUUGAUUACAUGCUUAGCCUACUUGUUAUUUUGAAAAUGGAGUCGAGUGUGUACUUUAUCGCACUCGUUCUCAUUUGAAACAAAUGACUCAUACUUAACAUGAUUUGCCUGGUUUACAUGACCUGAAAUACAUGCUUAAACCUGUCAAAUGCUUGAAUACAUGACAUGGUAUGCUAUGAUUGCAUAUGUCGUUGGAGUGGAUCUCCUCGACACUUACAUGAUACAUGGGGGACGCUCAAACUCAUAGGCCGACCCUGGAACUCGAGUCGGCAUGGGCUUGGUCGGGAACCUCGGUGAGCCAUGAGAUUCACAUGAUAAGGUUGAUCUAUUGAGAGGUCUUGCUUGGCAUACUCGUGGAGUAUUGUUUUAUAAAUGUCGUGCGGGCUCGAAGUGGUGUAUGGUGGACGGAUGUGAAGUAAGUGGAUAUCUACGGUUUAGAAAUAUCAACCCGGUUGACGGAGAGUCAUCGCGGGAAGAUAUACAAAUGAAUUGGCAAAGCAAGUGGAACUUAGCUCCUGAGAGCUACGAUAUCCUUGAAUUGUUUCUGUUUACAUUUCGUUGGCUUUGUGAAUUACUUGUAAAUUAUCACUUGAACUAUUGUGUGGGUUUGAUACUUGAACUGUGUGCCUGCUUGUGUGUUCUUGGCCUCACGAGCGUUUUUGCUCACCCUGUAGAUUUGUUUUUCUUAACAGGUUUGAACUCGGAGGUGUACUGAAGAAACCCUCCUGAUGUACUUUUGUUUAGGGUUUUCUUUUACUUUUGGGCUAUGCCUUGGCUUUUGGGUUGUACUUUUGGAAUCAGAAUGUAACUUUUGGGAUUCAUGAUGUUUGUUGAACACCUGAUGUGCGGGUUGGAUACCGGAUAAUUAUUAUUAAGCUUGAAAGCUUCCGCAUUUAUUGUAUCUAAGUUAUUGACUUGUAUUGUGUGGUCCGGUAAUAAUCUUAGAUGGAAAUCGCUUGAGUCCUGGCGAGAGUUAGGCAGGCGUUUCGCGGAUACCCUUUGGUUCGCCUUAGGGAGAAGUGGGGGCGUCACAAUUGAUCUAAGUUUUUUUUUUAACAUUUUUUGUCUAAAUUAUUAUUAGAAUAUUGAGGACAAUGUAAUAUAUGGGUGGCAUAGAAGGACUGAAAAAGUAUGAAGGUUUAAGUGCCAAAAAUUGUUAAGAUAGACACUCUAGUUUGUCAAUUUAUAUUUUUUUUUCCUUCCAAAAUCUUUUAGAACAAAUAAUCCUAAGUUGUGAGGGUAAUACUUUCACUUUGCAUGCUGUGAUGGUGAAUUUUUGCCGCAUCACUUGUGGGGAAGGUAAGUGAUACUUUUAGAAUUAUAGGGGUGCUAAAUGAUAUUACUAGAAACUUCAGGGUGGAUUUUUUUUUUUUCAAAGUAUUCGACUUUUUGAACAACUUUAGCGGUUAAAAAUAUUUGAAAAGGCGGACCAGUGAUGAACAAAAUGAGUGAUUGGUUUUGACUUUAUCAGUUAAAACAUCUGAACCAUCAGUUCAAUCAUUUUAAUGUAUGUUUUGUUUGAAAAGGUUCUGAUGUGUCAGAAGUCACUAGAAAAACCAAAACCCCAUGGAGUUCGGGACUCCUGAAGGAAAAAUGGUCCAAAAGAAAUGAAAGGUUCAUUUUGACUCCUUGAAGAAAAAAAUCAUAACUCAAACAAAAAUUUGUCUAAUCCAAUGUAAACCGGCCUCAACUUCCAGAAGAGGUUUGAGGUUUUAAACCUGUAAUUAAGUUAAAUAUUUGAAUAUACUAAUGAGCAAAAUGGAUUUAAAAUUAGGAUAGAUUGGAAAAAAGAGGAACUAUGAUGAAGGAUUCGUGGCAAAUGGUAUACAAGACGAGAAUUUGUUCUACUGCUGGUUAUUCUAGUAACCUCAUCUUCUCCAACUUGCUCUCUUUUUGUGAACAAAUCUCAUCUUUUAUGCUAGGGAGAAGGAGAACGCCAAAUGGGAUACAUGCAGUGACGGAGCCAAGAUUUUUUUCUCAGGCGCCUAAAAAUUUUUCUAACAAAAUUAUUUUAAUGUGCUAUGUUCAAAAUAAUUUUCAUCUAUUUAAAUAUAUGACAUCUAAAAAUAUCAAAUAUUAACUUUAAUUAUAAAGGUAUGUUUAUUUUAAAAAUAUGCAACAUAGUCAAAAUGAAAAUUAAGACAAAAAAUAAACUUUUCUUAAAUGUCUUAUAUUAUCACAAACCACCCAAGUUGCACAUUAUGAAAGGAUACUCCAAUAUGUAGCCUAUGCAAAAUAAAUAAAUAUAUAUAUGCAAUAUAAAUAUGACUAUUUUAAUUAAAAAAGAUAAAUGUUAUGUUAACAUACACUAAAAUUUCAACCUCUUUUCUUAAAAGUAAUUUGAGUUUUACGUUCCUUUUAAAAGUAAAUUUAUCUAUGAUUAAAUCAUCGCUAAAUUUUUCAACAACUUUCUUUUCUAUGUACACAAUUAGGCAAUCAUUCAAGAAAUUAUCUUCCAUCUUAUUUUGUAACUAUCUUGAUUAUCUUCAUAAUUGAAAAUAUCUGCUCUAUAGUUAUAGUUAAUACAUGAAGAGUGAGAAACGAGUCUAAUCAAUUUGGACUAAAUUGUCUAUUUAUAUAUGAGCCAAUAAAGUAAUUGCUUUUGUUUUAGCCCAUUGAUAAUUUUGAAUUGGGUCAUUUAUUAUAAUAUAUCACAUUGGGUCAAUUUACUAUGGAUUAUUGAUUAUAUGUUUACUCUUUUAAAAGUUAAAUAACUAGCAUAAUAAAAAAAAAACUAACUCUUUUUUGAAGAAAAAAUUAAUUCAAAGGUGGCUAAUUCAUAUAUAUAUAUAUAUAUAUAUAUAUAUAUAUAUAUAUCACACUAUAAAUUAAAAUUAUGAAAAUUAGGGGGCUAACUCUGUUUUACACCCAUAUUUACACACUGUGAAUUAAAAACUUCAACACCCCUUGGAUGCAUGGCAUUAACAAUAGUAGAUUGUGCUCUCAUGCCCUAGUUCAGCUUAGAGCAAUGUUAACUCGGUGAAUAUUUGAUACAAAAAAGGUGAAUAUAAGGUUUUUCAUUCAAUAUUUAGAAUUUGUUUUGAAAGAUAGGACGUAAAGUUUUGUAACUAAAAUUAAACAAAAUGAAAAUAGAAAGAACUUUAAAGGUCCAAAUGGAAUAAACCUUAAAAGGUUAACGUAGAGUGAUUUGAUCAUUAUAAGUCUUGCCUUUGCUGUCUAAUCAAUUAUACAAGCCACAUAGAGGAACACUAUUGUAUAUAGACAAGAGGAGACUCUUCCAUUUUUUUUUUUCUAAUCCUCCCAUCCCUUUUCACAUGUAAUGGUUUCCUCGUCAACGUUAAUAUUGGUCUUAGAUGAUUGCCAGCUAAUGGUUUUGUCUAUUUUCUAAAUAUUCUUGCAUUAAAUAAGUUACAUGGUAUAGAAUAUCACAAUUAGAUGUCAAGUUAAAUGAAGAAGUAUAUAGAUUGUUCAGCAAAAAUGUCAUCCAGUUUCUUUAAUUUGUCAUUUUUAACAGGUUGAACAUUGAACAAUUAAUCACAUUGAUCAGAAAAUAAAAGAUGAAAUAGCAUAGAAAAAAAAGUUUAAGAAAAGUUACACCCUUUAGACUUUUGCUAGGUUGAAGAAUGCAAAGAAAUGCGAGUGGCUACUAAAUAGCCUCCUUUUAUUGGAUGUGUUCGCCAAAAUAUAGGUAUACAUGAAAAUAUAAUCAUGUUGAUGCAAAAUUUACCAUUUUGUUCCUAUGCACUUUCUCUAUUGAAAAGUAACACAAUUUAGAUCUUUUUUUUUUUUUUCUUUUUUGGUCUAUACUAAGUAUUUGUUGCAUGAGAGUUUUAUUGAGGAAACAACAGAAACAAGUCAAAAUCUUUUGUAUUACUGAAAGGAAGAGAAAAGUGAGUCUCGCAUGUAUGCUUGUUGUCCGCUGGUUUUAAGGAUCAUUUGAUCAUUAAUUUCAAUCCGUAGUAGCAAUGAACACUAAUAAACAUCAAAUCAGAAAAGAACAUCCUACAAACAGCAUGUGAUGGAUCAUAUCAAUCUGUAGCAGGAUUGAAGAAUAUUUGAAAAAUUGGGAUCAUGAACACUAUUAAACAUCAAAAUCAGGAAAAAACACUAUUAAACAUCAGACCAGAAAAGAACAUGGAGAACAUUUUACAAACAGAUUAUGAUGGAUAAUGUUGGCUUGAUAGAAUGCAUGACUCUGCUUGCCCCUGCAACGACAAAGUAAUACAGCUGCAUCAGGUUCAAACCAAAUAAUUUGGUACAGAUGAUGAAGAAGGGACAUGAUCAGUAAUUAUAUAUCAUUGAACUGAAUUAACAUACACAUACAAUUAUAUCUGACCUGAUGAGUGGAAUGAUCACACCAAAUCAAGGAGAGACAUUAAUGCUUCAGUCUUCACCAUUUGUCUAAUGUGAUGAUGAGAAGAAAUGGACUCUGAAAUCUACUCUGGAAGAAGGAAUAAUUGCAGUACUACAUCAGUUGAAUGCAGAGGUAUACAGAUUACCCAACAAAAUAGGUCAUCUGGUUUCUUUGAUUUGUCAUUUUGAUCAGUAUGAGCAAUUAACCACUUAAAAUGACAAAAUAAAACAUGAAGCCACACCAAAAAAAAAGUUUAAGAAACAUGGAAGAAGAUUUCGCAAAUUGGGAUUAUAAAUCCUUACAUAAGAACUACUCAACACUGAACCAGAAAAUGUGUUUCCUACUGCAAUCAGAAAUUUAUCAGAAUGUUAUGCAGCAGCACCAGGUUUAAACAGACAAAGAAUUAAGAAGCCUCCAGAAAUUGCUUCAAAAUACGCAUGAAUUAACAUAUCAUUGCACCGAUUCAACAUAUAAACAGAAGAAAAAGAUGCAUGAAUCAUUAUAUAAUUGAACUGAUUCAACAUAUGCAAAUAUAGUUUUAUCUGACCUGAUGAGUGGAAUUCCACUGUACAUUCACUCUCACAAUUGUCAACUGCGUGAUGAGAGGAAAUAGACUCUUUCUGAGGAAAUCUCCUCUGCUUUUGAGGGAGUUGACUCUGCUUCUGUAGACUCUUCUUACGAGGAAAUGGAAUGAAUUUCGAUCUUUAGAACCUCAUUUCCCAUAUCAAUCUGCUCUUGUUGAAUUUGCUCUACAGAAUCUACGACAGACUCAAGACACCCUUCCACCUCAAUCAUUUCAAGAGUCUCACACUCCCCCAAACAAGAAGGGACCUUUUCCAGCUCCUCACACCAGUUCAAGACCAAUUUCUGAAGGCGGGAAAAAUUAUCAGAAAAUGCAGUCCAGUUGCGAAAUUCCAAAUUUGACAAUUUUAAGACUCUGAGUUUAGGGAACUCCCCUUCUUUCAUUACCCAUUCUUCCCCAACAAAGCAGUAAUCUAGUAAUUUAAGCACUUCAAGAUUGGGCAACUUUCCAAUUGUUGAAAUUUCACUCCAUGGCUGACCAUUAUAUGAGAGAGUCAACUUUUUCAAAUUCAAUGGGAAUUUAAAUCCACAUCCACGAAAAACAAUCAAAUGAAGCGAUUCUAGUUGACUCAAACCAUCAAACUCAAGAUUCCCGUCGCAAUUUCUGGUGGCUUCUCUUGAUCCGUCGUAGCGUUGCCUACAUUUUAGCCUGCGAAUGCUUGGUAACUUUCUCAGUAUCUUUUGCAAGCUUUGAGGGGAGGGAUCAAUUGUAAGGUCUAAAGUGUCUAAAUGAUCUAAAUCUGGGGAUACUUCAAGAUUUUCAACUGGAAAAAUAAAACCUUGUGGCGAUACUCCAUGAUAAUUUAAAACACGUAGAUGACUCAAUGUCUUAAUGUUCCAAAUAGUACUUGGCAGCUCAAUAUCAAAAACCGGAUCUUCUACGAUAAGAGUUUCUAACCUUGAGAGGUUGGCUAUCGCAGAUGGGAUGUAUCUUAUUCGUUUGAGCGCCAGAUAUCUCAAGUGAACAAGCAAUACUACCUCCAUCGGAAAAGAAUAACCAAAGCCCAAAUUCCCAAAAUCCAACACUCUGAGAAGUUUAGGUAACAAAAUACCCAAAUCCUCCUCUUGAUGUUUAAAAUAAUCUUGUGCAAACAAGAUCAAAGAGCGUAAAUUGGGAAAAAUAAGCGUUAACUCCCAAAUCUUCAAUUCUCUGGUAUUGUGAACACAAAUUCGGUGGGAGUUGUUUGGUCCGAUAAGACUAAGAGGGGCUUUCCAACUAUGAAUAACAUAUAGAAAACUUUCUUCUUUGGCUUUUUCCACACAAAACUCGUGUACCAAAUCGUGAAGUAGACAGGCUUUGGCACCACCCACAAUUCUUUGUCCGAUAACCAUAACUAAACUUCUAUUAAUUAGAGCCAUCAAGUAGUCAUAAGCUGCUUCCUCUAAGCUCUUUCCUCCAACCUGUUGCACAAAUCUUUCAGAGAUCCAAAGUCGUAACAACCUUCGCACAUUAAUAACCUCAUCUUCUUGAAAUGCAGCAAAGUACAGAAGGCAUGGUUUCAAAUAAUCUGGUAAAUGACUAUAACUCAGCUCAAGUGUCUUCUUGCAGUAUUCAUCCUCAAGGACAAUAGAACUUAGACUUUUUGCAACUUCUUCCCAACUAUCUUGUGCAGUAGUAACAAGAAUUCCAGCAACAAGGACAAUUGUGAGGGGUAAGCCCUGACAAAGUUUUGCUAUUUGAGAUCCAACUUCACUUAGAUCUGGAGGACAAUCUUCCGUGCCAAAUAGCUUUCUCUGCUGCAAUGUCCAACUCUCUUUGUCAGUAAGAUGGCGGAGAUGGUGAGGCUCACUAUUAGGUUUGAAGUGCAAAGAUAAAUCCUGGCAUCUACUGGUGAAGAGAAUUCUGCUUCCAUUGGCAUCAUUUGGCAGUAAUUUUUCCAACAAAUUCCAUGCCUCAACGUCCCACAAGUCAUCCAAAACAAGGAGAUACCUACUUCUCAACAAAACCUGCCUUAGCUUUAUGGCCAAAUCAUUUUCAUCCAUCUUAAGAUAUUCAUCUGGACUCUUAGAAUCAAGACUACUCAAAAGUUGAACAAACAAAUUGUGUUUGCUACACGUUUGAGAAACACGACACCAGCCGCGAACAUGGAAAUGUGACCUAACUAAAGGAGCAGUAUAAACUUUAUUGGCUAAUGUGGUCUUCCCUAGGCCAGGCAUACCCACAAUGGGAACAACAUCCAAUUGCUUUGAUCCUCUCGUAAGCCGAUGAGUAAUAGUUUCCACCUCGUCGUCAAGACCUACCAGAUCUACGUCAUGCAUCGCGACAGUAAAUUGCGAUGGUAUGUGAAUGGAAGUCUUGUUAACUCUUUGGGUUUGACCAUUAAGGAUCUCUGGGGCUUCAAUCUUCAAAAGAUUGAUGUCUCUAGAAACGGCAUCCAAAGAAUCUUCACAUUUAUCACCAACAAGUGCCAAGUCAAUCAGUAACUCUACCUUGUAUGCAGCCUCCAUAACAUGACUCCAGAAAGCUUGAAGUUUUCCAUUCUGAUAGCGCUGCUCCUUGAUAUUUUCCAGGAAAGAUCUUAAGAAUACGAGAUCUUUUUGGAUCGCUUGGAUUCUAUGAUGUUGAAUACCAAUUGAAUCAUCAGCCUCAUCACACCUUGCUAGUUCCUUGAGAUUUUCUAGGAAAAAAUCCAUACAGCCCAACUCAUUGGAUCUAGGAUAAUUAAAUGAUGGAUAUGGUGAUUUUAAUGGAAAAUUGUGUGCAACCUCUGCCACCAUAUAUUUGAGAACUUUGUGCAAAUGAAACACCCCAAGAUCUGUUUCCUCAGGCAAGCCUUCUUUGAUUUCAUUGACAGAAAGGGAGAAGGUCAAAAUUGCUACAUCAGAGACCACCACAGCUCCAAUAAGAUCCUUCAUUUCAUCACCUAGUUUCUCCUCCUGUUUAAGAAGGAUACCCAGGCAUCUUAUUUCCUCAUGGAGUCUUAGUAUUUGAUCCUUCACUGGAACCUGAAAACUGGCAUAAGAUCCUAGUAGAUCCAUAAGAUAAUCACGGAGAGAACCAACAAACUGGCCUACCACAUGAUCCUCAUUCUUCUGAAGGGCUAAAGCAUAUGAUGGUCUCGGUUGUUUCUUUGAAGCUGUCAGGACAUGGACAAAAGUUUCUCGGACUUGGAGAUCAAAAAGAUUGAUCUUCUCGUGUAUCAGCUUAUAAAUUUCAGAUUCCAAUCGAUUGGCCACUUGUUCAUCAUGGUAAAACAGACAUACAGAAAUCAGGCGUCCAGCUGCAACUACAGUGUAAGUCAAGAGAUCUGUCAGUUGCGAACAUUCAAAACCUUGCAUUGUCACAAAGCCAAUGAGAUUCCUUAAGAGUUUUAGCCUAUUUCUAAUUGUAUCCCUUAGCUCCCCAACACGUAAAACCCAAUCCAAAGUCUCUAAAAGGCACAUAAUAAGAUCCAUAACUAGUCGUGGAUCUCCCGGUGCGUAAUAGUCAAUGAAGAUGGCGGCGCAUGAUUUCUUGAGAUCCGUCUCAAGAAACAUUUUGAUCUUUUCCUUGGAUCUGGUAAUCGCACUUUCAAUGUUGGCAUGAUCUAAGUAACGACCAGAAUGAAUAUAUUGAAAAUAAGCAGGCUGAAGAUCAUGAAUCAUCCUGAUAGCCACUUCUUGAAUUCUGAAGCAAAUAAUACUGCGUCUCAAAUUUUCAGACAUAAUAUUACACCUGUCCUCGCGAUCGGGCUCCAAAAGCGCUUCGUGGUUCCUCCUCCUCCUACACUUUUUGACAUACAGAAAACAGGUUUUCAUUAAUCUUGCCUUCUCCUUCAGGUACUUGAAGUACCAGCCAUAGUAGGGCUCUUUUUCAAGCUCGGCUAGAGUAUCUAAAGCAAGAUCAAAGCAACUAGUGCUAGUGCUGGAGGAGACGAGAUGCGACUGCAGAUAAUCAUAAGAAGCAAAAUCAAAGCAAUUGGCGUUACUGCUGGAGGGGAUCUCCAUUAUAAUAUCUUCUUUUCACUCUGAUAUUAGAUAUUUAUCUGGUUUAGCAGCUGCUCAAUAAAAUCAGUUCAGGAUCCAAAACUUUCUCAUCUAAGAAUAGCCAACAAACAAUAGGCUGGACUUUUUUUUUCCCACUUUUUGUGUAAAUAUUGCAAGACACUGUACUAUCUUGUUCACAGAAGAUAUGGUGCUUCAGAACUUUGCCGGCAACUUCAGUGUAGCGCCAAACAAAGAUUCCUCCCAAUCUGAUGCAUUAUUGGUGGGCCAUGCAUGUACCAAAUUGGACACUUUUUGCAGUCACAUCAGUAAUUAGAUUACAACAUUCAUGUAAUGGUUUCUGCAUUAAUUUCAAUAUUGUUCUUAAACAAUUGCUGGCUUAUGGCUUUCAAGUUUUCAAACUAAUUGUCUAAUUUGAAUCAUAUUGUAAAUCAAUCAAGAAAUAGCUUUGCAUUAGUCUUCCUGCUACAAUAUUGUGGCUAGCGUGUAGCUCUAAUUAAACGCUUAUAGAGGUACAACUUAUCUAUAAUAUAUUAAGAGCAAGAGCCUAAAUUAGCGGAUUAGUGCAUUAGAUCUCGUAUUCCGAUAAUACCCUCUGUAUGCAAUGUUGUUUUUUUAGCUCUGCAUUAUUUAUGAUAAUUGUGGCUAUUUAUGUAAUUCAAUGUAACAGCAAGAAUGAGUUUUUUCUUUAGAAAUAUAAAUAUAUUAAACUCAGAUUUUGUUAACUUUGUUGAGCAAUAGUUGGAAAGAAAUUGUUUGUAAAGAAGUUUUAGAAAUUUCUUUGGCAAUCAAUUAAUUUUGGAGCAAGCAAGCAGAUUUCCUUGAGCAAUAGUGCAAAAAACAUUGUUCGGAAAGAAGUUUAACAAAUUUCUUUGACAAUACUUUUGGAAACUAAAGAACUUUUGGAAACUUUCGGAAACUAAAGAUUAGCAUAUCAAUAAAAUUGUGAAUGAAGGAAAUACUUGAGGAAAGGGAUUAAAAUUAAACGUUUUACAAAAGGAGUAAAUCUUAUAUAUACUUAUAGUGUAUAAACUAUCAUUGUUAGAUCUCUGACAUAUGUGUAAAAGUUGAAUUUCAAAUUCAAAUUUUGCAUAAUUGUCAUUUAUUAAAAAUGAGUUAUUAUGGAUGGAUUUUAGAAGUUUACUGAAGCUACAUUUAGAAGAAAAUUUCUUGCCAUGCUAGAUCAACGUGAGAACUCAAAAUCAACUGGCUCCUUUGGAACCCAAUUACACCAAGUAAUGUGAUUCUUGGAGCCCCAUACUGUGAAGGCAUAAUAAAGAAAUUAAACUCAUGCCUUUAGGAAAAGCUCAAUUUUCCAAUUGCUUAAACUUUGUAGAACUAAACAAAAGAUAGCUAAAAAAUUAACCUUGAGGUUAUAUUUAGUAAUAGAGUGUUGUUGACAUAAAUUUCUUUAUAGAAAAGAAAUUGAUUUGGAGCAAAACAUUGGUAUAUUUAUCUAUCUAGCUAUUUGUAAAAAAAAGUUUUCAUUCUUUUAUUUAUUUUUUGUUAAAGGAAAUCCAAUACUAAAUACGUCCUUACAUUUUUCAGACAUUUAGGCACUCAAUGUGACCUUUUCUUUCCUAUUAUCUCUUUCAUCUGUUUUUGAAUUUAAAAUAAAAAAGAAAAUAUGUAUUUCAAUUGCCAAAUUUGCUGUGUUAGGAUGUUCAUUUAAUUUGGCUCAUUCUAAGUGAAAAUCUAAAGGAGUUUCAACCGUGAUAAAAGUUUUAACCGUCCAUUUGCUCCUUUUUUGUAAAAACUGUAUUGUUUUUAAAAUACUUAAAAAUUUGUAGGCAAACAGAGAGAUUAUCCAAUCUUAGAAGUAAUAGGAUUGUUCUAGCUGAGAAUCAACAAGGUUAUGCCUACUUGUUACACAGGUUUUUUUUCCUUUUACCUUUGUUUUUUUGGGUUAGAUAUAAUAUUCCCACGAGCAGUAACCACCAAAUCAACUAGUUCACGCUCAACUAUAUUGGCAUAUUUGAAUACUCCUUUGGAAUAGAGGAAAAGAACAAGAAAAUUCAAGUUGUCAUCUUGUUUAUAGGCUAUCUUGUUCUCUUUCCACAAAAGAUAAAGUGCAGUAGUGCUUUGGGCAAAAAAAAAGCAAAAAGGCUAAAUAAGUUAGACCACAGUUUCCAGCAACCAAGACAAUGGAUGUUACUUUAUCAAAGGAACAAAGAAAGGUAUAGAUCAUCCUGGUGUUGUUAACUUUAUGACCACAUCUGAUAAAAAUUUGUCAAACUUUGGAUUCUCACCCAUUUGGUCAUAAAUUUGAGUCCUCUAUCCUAUUUCUUCAUCUCUUGGUUCCGCUUUCUUUUCCCCUUUUUCCUGUAAUAUAUAUCAAAAAGCAAUAAUACAUCUUACUGCAUACAUUUAAGGUGGCGUUUGGUUCACAUGUUGGAAUCAAAUUCGGAUUCGAAAUCGUUUAUUCUGGAUUUGGAAUGGAAUCAAUCAUUAUAAUACAUUUGUUUGGUUCAGUGCCAAGAAUGUAUAUCAUUACUAUAGUUGAUGUUUGGUUCGUUGGCUCUUUGUAAAUGGGAUAUAAGAAAUUUAGUAUAACUAAGUAAUAAUUUCUAUUAGUGAAAAUGUAUAAUUAAUAAUAUCAAUUAUAUUACAUAGAUUAAUAUAUAUUAUAUAAUACAUAUAACUAAUAAUAUUAUUAUUGUAAGUUUGUAACUAAUUAAAUUAAAUAUUAUAUAUAUAAUUAAAUAUAAAUAUACAAAUGUUAUAAUAUAAAUAUAUAAUUAUAAUUAUAUAAUAUAUACUAAUAUUAAUUAUACUAAUAUUUUAUAUAAUAUAAUAUAUAUUACAUAUUAAAUAUAGUUAUUAUUAUAUAUUAUUAUAUUUAAAAUAAUAAUAAUUAUUAUAAUUAUAUAAUUUAUUAAUAUUAUAUACAUGUAUAUAAUAUAAUUAUAUGCACAUAUAAUAUUCAUUUAUAAAUAUACAUAUAUAUCAUAAAUAUAUUAUUAUAUAAUAUUAAUAAGUUUAUAAUAUAUAUUAUAUAAAUAUAAUUAUAUUUAACUAAAUAAUUAUAAUAUAUAAUAUAAUAAUAUCAUUAUUAUAAGUUUGUAACUAAUUAAAUUAAAUAUUAUAUGUAUAAUUAAUUAUAAUUAUACAAAAUUUAUAUUAUAAAUAUAUAAUUAUAAAUAUAUAAUAUAUAAAUAUUAAUUGUACUAAUAUUUUAUAUAAAUAUAAUGUAUAUUACAUAUUAAAUAUAGUUAUUAUUAUAUAUUAUUAUAUUUAAAAUAAUAAAUAUAAAUAUAAUUUAUUAGGAUCAGGCUUACCAAGAAGGCAAGCUCUUGGUUUCAAUUAGGAUCAUGGCGCAUGGGGUUAAACAAAAAUUUCCAGAUAGGUUACAACAAGAUCAGGCGCAUGGGGUCAAUCCAAUGAAUUUUGUUAAUCGAGUAGAAGAAAUUCUAUUAGCAACAAGUCCAAAUAGAGGAGGAGUAAUGACACAGAUAGAAUCAGUAAGAAAACUAGAACAAUUAUCAAUUAGAAACUGGAAAUAUAUUAAACCUUUUUUACAAGACUUUUUAUAUUAUAGUUGUUUAGCAGGAUGUUUUUAUGAUGAAGGAAUUAUAGAAAAAUUAUUUGCAAAAUUACCAGACGACCUAGGAAAGAAAAUAUAUACCUUAUACAAAGCAACACCUAUGGAACCAACAUUAAAAAAUGUGAGUACGGCAGUAAGAUUUAUAAUCAAUAGACUAGUAGAAGAAUGUACCUUUAUAAAAAUACAAAGACAAUUAAAAGGAGAAUAUAGUUUUUGCUCAGAAAUAUACACACCACAAAAAUAUGGAGAAAAGAUAAGGAAAAAAGAAAAUAUAGAAAGCCUUAUAAAAAUUAUAAAAGAUACCCUAGAAAACAAUAUUAUCUUAGGAAAAGCAAAGUUAGAAAACCAUUUCUCAAAAAAGAACACCAUGUCAGAAGAUAUAGACCAGAAAGAACUUAUGGAAAUAGAUUAUCUUGUUUUAUUUGUAAACAACCAAAUCAUUUAGCAACAAAUUGUCCACAAAAACAUAAUUCUUUUAAUAGGGAAGCUCACUUAAUAGAAUUAUUUUCGGAAGAUUUAAUAGAAAUAGAUGAUAAUAUACUAGAGACAGAAAGUAUUUAUAGUAUAGUAUCUGAAGACUUAAAUUUAACAGAUUUUAUAGAACAAGAAGACACAAGCUUUAUAGAUGAAAUUUUAGAAAAAUCAGAAAACAGAACUAUCAUGGAUAAUAUAUAUUUAGAAGAAAUGAAAGAAGAUUUUAAAGUAUUGGAAGACUUAGAAUUAGUUGAUGUAGAAUGUAUCCAUAAAUGAGAACAUAGGAAAGGAAAUUAUAGUAAAGCAUGUUAUAACUGUAAUAAAUAUCCGUCAAUAGAAUUAAGGUUUCAAUGUCAGCUAUGUUAUAUGGAAGGAUGCAAAUACUGUUUAGAAAAGCUUGCACAGGAAUAUGUUUUAAUAGAAAAUACUAAAAAAGAAAAAAUCGAAGAAAAUGUACCUUUAGAACAUUAUUUGGAAAGAAGAAUAAGAAUUUUAGAAAAUAAGGUUGACCAAUUAGAACAAAAAAUAGAAAAAUUAAACAAAGAAAAAACAGUGGAAAGAGAAAUAUCUAUAGAAAACAUAGAUCUAGAAAUCUUUCCAGAAAUAGAAGAAAUAAAACAUAAUUAUGAUCUAGAAUUAUUACAAGCAGGAACAUCAAAUAUAACAUCCAUAGAAGUAAAAACUCGAAUAAAAAUAGGAGAUUUUGAAACACAAUUAUUAGCAGUGAUAGACACAGGAGCUAGUAAUAUAGUAAUCAACAAGAAUUAAUUCCAGAAAAAUACUAUGAAAAAGCAUACCAUAUUAGAACGGCUAGACAAAUGGAUGGAAGUACAUAUACAUAUGAUACAGCAUUACAUAAUUCUUUAUUGUUUUUUGAAAUAGAUAGCAUACACUGUACACAACCAUAUCCGGUAACAGAAAUAUAUAUUAGAAGUUUUCCUUAUCAAAUGAUAUUAGGACUAUCAUUUAUUUUACAGGCAUAUCAUGGCAUGAUUCUUACUAGAACAGGAUUAACAUUCCUUAGAAAACAUUUUUUACCAUAUAAUACUUUUUUAACAAGUAAUAAAUUUAAUAAAGAUAAUAAAUUUACAAGGCUCUUAGGACUAGAAGAAAAAGAUAAUUGUAAAUGUGAUAUAAAAGGUAGCUGUAAGAAUGAUUCAACCCAGGAAUAUAGGGGGAAGAAUCAGAAAACUAAUUCUUUUGACAAUAUGGAGAUGACUGGAGAAAGGCCUUUAUAUUCGUCACAAAGAAUUCAAAACUGUUUAGAAGACAAAGAAUUUGAAGAAUAUUUAGAGAUAGAAAAUUAUGACACAAUAGAAACAAUUUUAAAUAAUGAAAAAUUAUAUGAUCUGUUAGAAACAGGACAUAGAGAUAUAGACCAACUAAUAAGUGAAUUAGAAAAAUUAGAAAUUUUUGAAGAAAAUCCAACUAUUCAUUGGGAUAAGGACAAAACAGAAUGUAAGUUAGAUAUUUUAAAUCCAAAUUUAAAAAUUAGCACAGCAAAAAUAGAAGCUAGUAAUGAUGAUAUAAAAGAAUUCGAAAUGCAUAUAGCUGAUCUAAAUAAGUUAAAAAUAAUUAGAAGAAGUACUAGUCCACACAGAAGUGCAGCAUUCAUAGUUAAAAAACAUAGUGAAAUAGUUAGAGGAAAAAGCAGAAUGGCAAUAAAUUAUAAAAGAUUGAAUGACAAUACUAAAGAAGAUAGCUAUGAUAUACCAGAUAAAAAUGAGUUAAUAAAUAGAAUCCAAUAUAGAUAUAUUUUUAGUAAAUUUGAUUGUAAGUCAGGAUUUUGGCAGGUAAAAAUGCAUAAAGAAAGUGUAGAAUGGACAGCUUUUACAUGUCCUUUAGGACACUACGAGUGGUUAGUAAUGCCUUUUGGGUUAAAAAAUGCACCAGCCAUAUUUCAAAGAAAAAUGGAUAAUAUUUUUAAUAAAUAUAAAGAUUUUGUCAUAGUAUAUAUAGAUGAUAUAUUAGUAUUUUCAAAAAAUAAAGAAGAACAUGUAAGCCAUCUAAAAUUAGUUUUCUCCGAAUUUAUUAAACAUGGAAUAAUAAUCAGUAAUAAAAAAGCACAAUUUUUUAGAAAAAAUAUAGAGUUUUUAGGAACAGAAAUAGGACAAGGAAAAAUAAAAUUACAACCACAUAUUUGUAAAAAGGUUUUAGAAUUUCCAGAUAAGAUAGAAGAAACAAAGAAACUUCAACAAUUCUUAGGAUUAUUAAAUUAUGCAAGACCCUUUAUUAAAAAUUUAAAUAACCUAGUAGCACCAUUGUAUAAUAAAACCUCUUUAAAAGGACAAAAAUUCUUUAAUAAAGAAGACGUUAAACUAAUACAAGAAAUUAAACAAACAAUAGGCAAUUUACAUGAUCUAAAAUUACCAUUAGACACAGAUUAUUUAAUAAUAGAAUGUGAUGGCAGUAGUACCGGAUGGGGAGCAGUUCUUUUUGCAAAACCAAAUAAAUAUAGCGAUAAAAACAGUGAACAAAUCUGUAGAUACGCUAGUGGAAAAUAUAAAGAAAAAGGCAAUAGAAGCAGUAUAGAUAAUGAAUUAUUAGCAGUAAAGUAUAGUUUGGAUAAUUUUAGACUUUUUAUAAUCAACAAAUCUGAAAUAACUAUUAGAACAGACUGUGAAGCAAUAAAAAAAUUUUUUGAUAAACAUAAUGAAAAAAGGAGUUCUACUAGAAGAUGGUUAAAUUUUGUAGAUAGUAUUAUUGGUAAUGGAUAUAAAGUAGUUUUCGAACACAUUAAAGGUAAAGAUAAUAAUUUAGCAGAUUUUUUAUCACGACUUUUUAACAAUUCUCCUGAUCUCUUAGCAGAUGGCAUAUAACUUCCAGAAAGUCAAAAUUGGCCAGUGGGAACUUACAAAGUACCCUAAAGGUACAAGUCUACAUUUCCAUAGCCAAGAGGAAGGUAAUCUAGAAGACAUCCAGCAGGAUAUCUUAAAUAACCUCUGGAAUAGCAGAAAUAGCACUGAUAAAGUUAGAAAUCUUAAUAUCUUAGCAUUUUAUUUUAGUAAUCUUCCAAAACAAAGUUUUUCAUAUUAUGUAGUAAUUCAAGGAAAAACACCUGGAAUCUAUUCCAAAUGGGUUUCCGUUAUAGAACAAAUAAAUCAUUUCCAUAAUCCUUUAUGGAAAGCAUUUCAUAGCAUACAUGAAGCACUAUAAUUUGCUAGGCAAAAUAUAGGAACAACAUUUUAUGUAGAUCCUAAAGCUAGCAGGGAUAGCAUGAGGGUGCCAGUAUGUCAACAUACAGAUGCCCCUAGUAGCAGUAGAAAUUAUCAAUAUGCAUUAGAAAAAGAUAACACAAAUAGAAUAGAAUUUUGUAGACAUUGCAAAAGUAUGGAGCAAGCUAUUAGAAGUUUAAAUUUAAAGUGUAGAAAUUUUGAAGAAGAAGAUUUUUCUCAAAAAGAAAAAAUAAAGUCUUUAACUGAACAACUCAAAGAAAUGUAUAAGAUCUCAGGCUCACAAGGAGAUACUAUUCUCUCACAAAUUUCUGAGAUUGGGGAGCUUAAAGGAAGGCUGUCUCAUACAGCAUCUCAAAUGGCCAGUUCUUCAUCCGGCCCAAUAAAACAGCCAAUUUUUAUACAAGAAAAGCCCAUUUCAGAAAGACCAUUUGAAUUUCUUAAACCCAGAAUAUCCUUUAAACCAUAUCACCUACUUGGUUUCCUCCCUUUACAUAUCCAAGAAAUUAUUAGCCAAAAAGCCCAAGCCCAAUAUUAUUCAAAAUUAAUGGCAGUCCAACAAUACUUGUAUGAAAUAGCAAAAGACCCAAUUAGAAACACAGCAGCCAUUAGACUACAUCCAUCCUUCUUCAUCGACCCAGAAAAACAUUGCCCAAACAAUCCAGAAGCCUGUGACCACCAGAAAAUAAAUAGCCAUUGUAUACAUACACUCAGUAAUUUUUUCCUCAGAGCCACUAUUAUCUUAUCAAAAUAUUCAUCCCCAAAGAUACUAAGGGUAAAUGGGGAAAGAGUUAUUUUAACACCACAGUUUCUUUUGGAUGCCGGAUUCCUGGAAAAAAUUAUUGUUACAAAUCCAGAAGAUACUCAUUGUCUUGGAACUCAUCUCGGAUACUUCAUCAGAAAAAUGUUAGACUAUGGACAGUGGGCAACUGUACAUAUCAAAUCCGCGCCAGCAGAAUGGAUAGGACUUUUUGAUAUAGAACCAGCAAUACAUAGAAUGAUGAUUACAGUCAGCAAUAUACCACCAACAAGAAGAACGACAGAAAAACUAGAGAAAAUCAGCAGUAGUCUAGUGGAAUGUCCAUUAGAACUAAAAGAACAAUUGAUAAAUGCUAAAAUGAUCCAAUUAGCUUACAGACAUUUCAUAGAUCAAUGGGAAAAUGGAAUUAGAUUAGUAUAUGAAAAUAAAAUACAAAAGAUAUAUGUCCCAUACAGGUUUAAGUUAGAAAAAGAUUUCACUAUAAGUACCAAUUAUCCAGAAGUCUUUGAAAAAUAUUUGGAAGGAUAUUAUAUGAGCACAGGAGCAAGGCAUUUGGACAUCGAAACAGAUGAAGAAUACAAUGAUGAUCAUUAUUGGGAAACAAUGGGACCAGAAGAAAUGAGCAACAUCGAAAAUAUGAUGGAAGGACAAUUUUCCGGCCAUCUUGUCAAAAGCUAUAUUGUAUAGGUCGGUCAUAAAAUUAAUAAAGCUUUUAUUAGUUGUUGGCCACAUUGUAUAGUCUGGCCAAAUUGAUUUAAUGUUUGUAGAAUCUAUGAAUCUAUGUAUAGGUCGGUCAUAAAGCUUUUAUUAGUUGUCGGCCACAUUGUAUAGUUCGGCCAUAUUGAUUUGAUGUUUUUACGGAUUUCAGAAGGUCUUAAGUCCGUAAAAGUUAACAUGUCAUAUCCACGGACUUUGAGUCAAAAAAUUUUAAGUCCGCACAGUUUGCACAAGAAGUCUAUAAAGGCAUACGUCCCUAACCAAUGUUGGGUACGAUGCACCUUUAUCCUGUAAAUUAAAGCAUCCGAUAUAAAAUUCAAUUUCAUACGCAUAUCUUUCUUACAGUCUUUAAUUCUUUCAUAUUACUAGCAUAAGACGAAAGAGAAAUAAGAAAGUAGAGAUUUAGGCAGCCAACCCUAGAUUAGAUCCAAACAACCGGAAACUUUGAAAAAGAUACCUUGUUUUUAGGAUCCUAAAAGACCAAAAGACGGUGUAGUACCCAUUAAAGCCUUUCAAUUACAAAGCAGACGCCAGGGAAAGAUCCGGUGAGGCAAAACUCCUAAUCACAAGAUUCCUAUUUUCAUAGCAUCAGAAGGAAAAUUUGGAUUUAAAGCAAGGAAGGUAAAAUCUCAGUUAUCUUUCUUAAAGUAUCUAGUAGUCAUCUAUUUCUUAAAUUCCAGUUAAUCAUCCUGAUAUUUUAUAUGAAUUUUGAACCGCCUUUUCAAUUUACAUCCACUCCAGAAAACGCAUACAGAUUAGCAUUACAAACCCUCAGACAACCAGAUACCUAUUAUUAUUUUGACAAAACUUUAGAGGAAAUUGAAACAACAGACCAGUGUUUAGCACAUAUACAAAUAGAAGACGCUAGAUUAUCUAAAGUAGCACACCACCAUCCCGCAUCAUUUCUAAAAAAUAUAAGACAAGCAAAAAUAGAUUUACUUUGGCAUAAAUACUCUGAAUUAAAAUCAAUAGAAAGACAAAAAUUAGAAGAACAAGAAAAAUACAAAAAUAAAAAGAUCUUUUGUAACAAGAUCUGUGGUAUAUCGGACUAAGCAAGAUUGAGAGAAAGAAGCUCUGCUUCACUGCACACUCUCUCCUCUGCUCCACGUACCAAAGGUCCGCACUUGGGAAUCCGUUCCUAUAAUAAGUUGGAAUCAAUCAUUAUAAUACAUUUGUUUGGUUCAGUGCCAAGAAUGUAUAUCAUUACUAUAGUUGAUGUUUGGUUCGUUGGCUCUUUGUAAAUGGGAUAUAAGAAAUUUAGUAUAACUAAGUAAUAAUUUCUAUUAGUGAAAAUGUAUAAUUAAUAAUAUCAAUUAUAUUACAUAGAUUAAUAUAUAUUAUAUAAUACAUAUAACUAAUAAUAUUAUUAUUGUAAGUUUGUAACUAAUUAAAUUAAAUAUUAUAUAUAUAAUUAAAUAUAAAUAUACAAAUGUUAUAAUAUAAAUAUAUAAUUAUAAUUAUAUAAUAUAUACUAAUAUUAAUUAUACUAAUAUUUUAUAUAAUAUAAUAUAUAUUACAUAUUAAAUAUAGUUAUUAUUAUAUAUUAUUAUAUUUAAAAUAAUAAUAAUUAUUAUAAUUAUAUAAUUUAUUAAUAUUAUAUACAUGUAUAUAAUAUAAUUAUAUGCACAUAUAAUAUUCAUUUAUAAAUAUACAUAUAUAUCAUAAAUAUAUUAUUAUAUAAUAUUAAUAAGUUUAUAAAUAUAUUAUAUAAAUAUAAUUAUAUUUAACUAAAUAAUUAUAAUAUAUAAUAUAAUAAUAUCAUUAUUAUAAGUUUGUAACUAAUUAAAUUAAAUAUUAUAUGUAUAAUUAAUUAUAAUUAUACAAAAUUUAUAAUAUAAAUAUAUAAUUAUAAAUAUAUAAUAUAUAAAUAUUAAUUGUACUAAUAUUUUAUAUAAAUAUAAUGUAUAUUACAUAUUAAAUAUAGUUAUUAUUAUAUAUUAUUAUAUUUAAAAUAAUAAAUAUAAAUAUAAUUUAUUAAUUUAUUAAUAUUAUGUACAUGUAUAUAUUAUAAUUAUAUGCACAUAUAAUAUACAUUUAUAAAUAUACAUAUAUAUUAUAAAUAUAUUAUUAUAUAAUAUUAAUAAAUUUAUAAUAUAUAUUAUUUAAAUAUAAUUAUGUUUAACUAAAUAGUUAAAAUAUAUAUUUAUAUAAUAUACUAAUAUUAUAAUUAUAACAUAUUAUAUAUGUAUAUAUUAUAAUAUAAAUAUAAAUAUAAAUAUAAAUAUUAAUUAUACUGAAUAUUAUGUAAUUAUAAGAUUUGGGAAUCACACUUGGGUUUUGGACAAAACCCACCAACUUACUAAGGAAUGGUGGAAUGCUAAAUUUUCAGACAUCAUUCCAAAAUUUCAAUUCCGAUAGUAGUGAACCAAACAUAAUUCAUGGGGUUUAUUCCAAUUCCCCAUUCCGAAACCCUUUUACCAAACGCCACCUAAGUUUGCAUUCUACCAGAGUACCAAAACAAAAGAAAUGGGUUGAAAUCAGGAAACAGGAGGAUUCAUGGGUUGUAAUAAAGUGAACUUGUUGCAAAUGGAAGACAUGAUAAGAUAGAAAAGGUAAGAAAAGGUAGUUUAGAUGUUUAUUUGUGUCAUAUUGGAAAACUUUUUGUGAUUUGUUUUCUUUCUCCAAUUGUGUUUUUUCUCGGCUUAGCGAGGCAACAAAACAAAAUAAACCAAAUCCUCUAGCUAAUUUGGACAACUCUUCUAGUCUUCUGCCCUCAACAAGAAAAUACAGCUAAUUGACCAAACCAAAUCCAAACUCUACUGGGACUGAACGUCCAGCUUAAGAUGAUCUAAAAAUGCAAAAGAAAAGAUAUUAUUGCUAGCAAGUCUCCACUAACCAAACUCUUUGUUGGACUUUCUUGUGAAAAGAUACUAAUAGCAAGCUUGGACAAUUAGUUAGGUUGCGUUUGAUAAAAUUGAAGUCUGAAAUUUGAAAUCUGAAGUUUGAAUCUAUUAAAUUAUUAAAUAUUAAAUUUAAUAUAUUUGAGUGUAUAUCGCAAUCAGUGAAAAGUGAAUAACUUACCGCUUAUUUUUUGGAACAAGUUUUGUCUAGAAAAUUCAGUGCUACUUAAUUAAUUCAGAUGUUCAAUUUUUAACUAUCAAACGCAUCUAAAUAUGUUAAAAUUUGAAUCCAUUAAAUUUAAGUACUAAAUUAAAUUAUCGAACAGCUGGGCCUUAGUAUAUCAACGGAGAUUCAGGAGGCCCUAGGCCCCAAUUUAAGAGAGAUUUUUGAGAAGUGCCACCCAAAACAGCUAGUUAGUAGCUUAUUUGGACCUUUUAGGUUGUUGAGCCUUUUGUUUUAUUUAAGCUUUUUUGUGUUUUAGUAUUUGGUACUCUAAAACUUAUGAUUUUGUACUCUCUUCUUUAUAGUGAAUUUGUUGCUCUUUUACUUGUGACAUAGGUCAAUUGUCCAAACAACAUAAUUCUUGUCUGUUAUAUUUAUAUAUAUAUAUAUAUAUAUAUAUAUAUAUAUAUUUUGCUUUAUUAUUGUAUUUUGAAGUUGCCAAAAAUUUUUUCAUCAAUUUUCCGGAUGACAACUCAAGAUGGAGGCUAUUUUUAGUUCAUGCUGGAGUUAAUUUAGUGCUACAGGGAAUUGGAAAAAAGUCCAUUGAGGGUUUUGUGGAAAAGAUGAAACAAGAUUACUAUAUUCAUGAUUUCAACCUGUUGAGAUCUGCUGAGACUUUUGUGAUUUUGGCCGAUUGGAAAUUGUUGGGGCUUUUGUGGCUUUGACCCAUUAGAAUUCAUUGUGGCUUUUAUGAUCUUGAUCUAUUAGGAUCCAUUGAAACUUUCGUACAGAAGGUGAAGCAUGGUUGCUGCUUGUCGAUGUUGAAUAUAUAAGAUAGAGAUUUGUUGUCUUUGCCCUUGUAAAAUAUAUCAAAAUUUUUAAAAAGGCAUCUCUCCUUUAGUGGUUAUAAAUAUGAUGGGUGUAAAUACAUCAAAUCACCAGUGAAGGACCCUAAGCCCCAAUUCAAGAGAGAAGUACCUUUUAGGUUGUUGAGCCUUUUGUUAUAUUUAGAUUCUCGUGUUUUUAGAAUUUAGUGCUUUUAGACCUAGCAUUUCUUUUCUUGUACUCUCUUUUUUAUAGUGAAUUUGCUACUCUUUUGCCUGCGAAUGUAGGUUUGUUGGCUGAGCCACGUAAUUCUUAUGUCUCUCUUCUAUAUUUAUUUUUGCUUUAUUAUUGUCUUUCGGAAUUGUCAAAAAACCUUUUCAUCAAUUUCCUGGGACCAGGCCUUACAGAAACUAUUUUAGCUCUUGACUUUGUAAAUUGAAAUGGACAAUACAAUUCAGACACCAGAGGAAAAGAUGGUGAACUGAGAGAAAAUUGCGCAAGAAGAACUUGAGAAAUUGUAACAGCAAUUUAGACCCACUUCCUCACUCAGUAACCCCAGUAUUGAUGCAUCAUUUAUUCGUCCAACCCCCGUUUCAAACCAAUUGUAACUUACUACUCUACCUGGCUGCCGACAAUUAACAGUAACUAAUUGUAACUAAUUUACAGCAAAGUAGCUAACUUGUCUUGCGGAGUCAGCAUUCAAUUAACUCCAACUAAUUGCUAAGUAACUAAGUCUUUCUGACACAGUAACGAAGUUAGCAUGCUAAGAUCUUACAAAAUCUCAAUGAUUUUUUUUGAGAACUUUUUUAUUUUAGGAUGAAAAUAUAAUGUAUUUUAGGGUAUAUCUCACUCAAGUGUUAUUUCAAUAUAUAAACUAAAAUACCCUACUUUUGGUUUCGAAUUUUCUGUCUCCAAAUUAGUCUCUAUCCCUUCUUUAUACAACUGCCACAUGUCUCCAACUUUUUGAUAAUUCAAACUCAAAUAAACCAAUAAUAAUCGGUUGACAAGUUUACUCUAACCCCCAACUUGAAUGUCAGAUGAUUUAUUGAGUACAAGAUAUUAGAUGUCAAUCCCGUAGAAAAGAUUGUCAAUUACUGAUAGUUUUCGAACUCCUCCAUUGUUUAGAUGAUCACAAAUAAAGCACUUAAAUUUACUCUACUAACAUGUAAUAAAAGAAGUAAAAUAACAACAAAAAUGUGUCUAAAAUUAUGAAAUCCCUAACUACUCUUGCAAGUGAAAACAAAUCAUCUAUUAGUAUCCGUCUUCUUGACUUUCUUGAAAGAGGACAAUCUACAUCUAAUUACCUCAAGGAUCUCUUGUUGAAUAACUUUUGUAUCCCUACAUUCAUUCCUAAAUUGUGUUGCAUUCCUUUCUUUCCAAAUGCACUAAAUAGCAGCUGCCAACAAAAACUCUUCCUUGUUUUAGCAAGAGAUUUGCCUUUCAAAUUAAUUCCAAUCCAAUCAAUCAAAUUGCUCCUAUUGGUACCAUCAUACAGCACAUUUGGAUUCGAAAUAAAUCCAAAUACUAUUAGUAAUAGAGCAAUCAAAAAACAAAUGGCUAUGGUCUUCAAUGUCAGCUUUUUAUCUUCAAUAGUCUUUUCUUUUCGCUUCUCAAUUUUGCUGAACAUAUUAGCUCUUGCUUAUCUGGAGCCUGCAGCACAGGAUUUGGAUCAAUACUUAUGGUCUAAAUAUAUUCCAACAAGAUACUUACAUAGUCAAGCUCAAUUAUUUCUGUGUUUCAUUGUUUUCUUCCAGUGCCAACUUCCAAAUAGUUAGCUUACUAUAAAGAUAAAACUCAGGAAGGGCUCACAGACAUGCAGACUUGAAAGUAUUUAGUUAGAAUUUAAAGUUACACUAUUAAGACGUCAAAUAUAUCGUUUAAAGUUAUUGAACUCAGCAUAACAAAAUUAGUUUCUUGCAUUGAAUCAAUCUGAGUAAAGCGAAAAUUUCCAAGCUCAUCUAUUAGGGUGGACAAAAAAUUAGAAGGGAUUUGCAAUUUUCACCCUCGAAGUGUCAUCAAUUUUUGGUUUGCACCAUCCUAAACUAUUACUUGUAGCACUUAGCAGGGAAAAGAUAAGAUGAACAGCAAACAAAAAGUUUAGACAGUUUACAUUCAUUAGACUUGUGAAAACAUUGCUAAGUUGGACAAUGAAAAAGCUUGUUCCUGUGUAAAGAUGAAACGUUUAAAAAAAAUGAGAGAGAGAGAGAGAGAGAGAUUUGAUCAUCUUUUUGGUUUUUUUUUUUGGAUAGCAUAUUAAUCAAUUUAUUUAAGGUACACGAUAAACAAUUUAAUAUUUUCAUAUAGAAAUUAGGACAGAAAACCCCAAUCACUUAACGUAAACUAUAAGCAAUUUAACAAUUGUGUAAAAGAAUUUUCUGGAAUAACUUAGAUUACUCAUGUAAAAUUCACUUCACUUUGUGCUCCAUCUGGUUUCGUGGUUAGCGUGCUCAGAGUGGGUUGAGGCGCCCUUUCCCAGGCUGCAGGGGCAUUAAUCAGGCCAGAGGUCCGGAUACCCGAUGUGUCAUCAAAAAAAAAAAAAAGAAGCCGAGAAAGUGGCAACAAAUGUAGUAAACCUACAAAAACAACUUAAGCUCGUUAGCCAAAUCAUCAAAGUAAAUAUUACCGCUUGUAAACAAUUGUUAAUUGAUUUUCUGGUCAAUUUUAGGACAAAUACUUUUAUCUGUUCCUUUAAAACCUUGGUGUAAAACUACAUUGAAAACAUCUUUUCCUUCUAGAAUCUUUCUUUAUAUAUUAGUCGACUUAUUUAGCUAUGAUCCCCCGAAUCCUCCUUCCAAAGCUUGUCCAAUACGAAGACUACUUUUCUGACUCUCAUCUAAUCUUUCUUUAUUUUCUUGCUUCUAAAAAUUCUUUCUUUAUUUCAAAAUUACAUUUUAUUCAAUGUUCAGUUAUAAAAACUUAGGCUUGUAUUACACAACAUACUCUCUUUUUUUUUUCCGCAACGAUAACAUUUGUAUAUCCUAACCCAUUGUGUAAGGAACUAGCAGAUAUACAAACCUAACUAAACCAAAGUGGUGCUCUAACACUUCCUUUAAAUUUUUUUCACUGCAAAUAAGGUUAAAACGUCUGAAGGCUAAAGAGGGACUUGGUCCCUUUUGGUGUAUUAUUAAACAUACUCGUUUAACUUUUCAUUCUCAGUUCAAUGAAUGGGGCAUCAAACUACUACAAAAAACAUUUCACCUAUCAUUUUCUAGAAAAUAAUAGUGAAAAGAUUUUCAGCAUUAAAGAGCAUCUACAAAACGGUUAAUAAUUGACUUACCAUGACAGCACAAAAAGCAUCUAAGUGGUUCCUUGUCUUCAUGUAAAUAUAUAUAUGUAUAUAUAUAUAUAUAUAUAUGCUAACCUCUAUUAUUGAUCAUCCCAAAAAAGUUCUCAAUGACUACUUUAAUUUCUUCAUCAAAAAACGUUUAUCAUUUAUGGCGCAUACUAUUGCUCUCUUUUUUAAUUUUUACCCACUUCAACUCCAUGGUGCAAGCAGACAAGUUGAGUUUUCAGCAAUAUGUUUCACUUCAGAAAAAGGUGUUCCCCACAAUGUUUUGAAACUUGGACCGUUAAUUAAACUGGUCAAGUGAUUGCGUCAAGAUUCAAUUGGUCAAACCGAUUUAACCCCGAUUCGAUGAUAUUUUAUAUAUACACACACAUACAUAUAUAUAUAUAUAUACACACACUUGCGCAUAGAAUAAUUGUUUCAAUUGUUCUAGAUUAUUAUCCCAUAGACUAAUUUAAGACAUCACUUAAUAAAAAAUUAAGUAUUUUUAAACACAAAUAAAGUUUUUAAAUUGUAAAUUCAAACAAAUAAAUUUAUCUCAAUUGUACCUACUUGGUAAAAAUCUUAAAUCCCACACAAACCACAACCAUAUUUUAAAAUUAAACAAAAUGCAUUGAGAUUUUUGAAAUUAAACAAAAUCUAAUAGAAUUACAAAAGAAAUCGAUAAUCUUUGAGUUUGAGGCUGAGAAAUAUAGAGAGUUUGAUUACUUUUUUAGAAAUUAGGGUUGGGAACAAAAGAUUCUACGAAUAAGUUUUAUUAUGUUAAAACAUUAGGUUCAAUUUUAAAAAAAAGAUGGAAAAAAUAAAAAUAAUCAUGGUUCACAGUUCAAUUCGAGUUGAACGAUAUGAUUGAUUUUUUGCGAUUUUGAUCAAUUUUUACAAAAAGUCAAUACUAGUAAUGAAAUGGACCGAAGACUUGACCGAUUUGCGGUCUGAUCAGUCGAAUUGACCGAUCCAAUCCGAUUUUCAAAACAUUGGUUCCCCAAGCUUUUAAAAGGGAGCUGAUCCCUCCAUCAGGUUCUACAAAGGAUCCUCCACCACCUCCACUGAUAAAGCCACAUGGGCCACAUGCUUUACCCCAGGGUAGCUUUCAAGAGGUGUGCUGUCCCUCCAUCAGGUCAGCCAAAGAAUCCACCGCCGCCACCACCACCAUUAGGGCCACUUGUGGAUCAAAAAUCCUAAAUAAUCGGUAUUCCGGUCCAUGAAACAUAAUUGAGUUCAUAUAAUAAUAGUAACGAGUUGCUAUCAAUGCCUAGAUUGCAUAACUAGGCGCUUGUUCAAUGUGACUAUCCAAAUAAAGUUUUUUGCUUAUCUAUUGUCGUUAGCAUUUUUAUUUGCUAGUCAAUAAAACUAUGUGAUUUUUGUUGCUGAUGGUUGUGAACUUUUGCUUCUAAUCAUAUACUAUCUCAAAUUAGUUUCUUUUUAUAUAAAGUUCGUGUAAUCCAUUAGCGUGGGGUCAAUCAAAGCCUCAUCAACUCUCAUUUAGUGACAAUGUAUUUGGCAUAAAUGUUGGUUGUGCAUGUAAAUUUUUGGGAAAUCGUUUAAAAUGUUCCUCACAUUUUACAAGAUGACUUUUUUCAUCCCUCACUUUUAAAAGUGUAAUUUUACAUCCCUUACAAAUUCAAAUUGAUAAAAGAAAAAUUUGCCAAAUUGGUCCCUAACAUUUACCAAAAACACUUUUUUAGUCCCUAACAUAUAAAAUCAGCCAAAAUUAUCCCUCACAUUUAAAUUGUGAUCCAAUUUGGUCAUAAUGCUCAUUUUUGCUCAUUUUUCCUGCUAAAAAUAGCAUGCCUCUCUCACGUGAUCAUAUUUUUAGGGACAAAACCGGAAAACACAUUUCAUUACCGGUUGAAUAACACUAAAAUUUUUUACCUACUUUUUUUCUAAUAUUUCAAGAAAAAAAAUAUUCACCACUAAGUUGAGGUGAAAAGGCUUUUUCUAGUUUACUUCAAAUGAAACUUUAUGCUCCACAUAUCCUUUCAGAAUUUUAGUUCAUGAACUAAUUUAAAGAACCACGUAAUUCUUUCACAUCCUUCAUAAGAAAACUUCAUGGACACACUUGAAAUUAUAUCAAAAUUUUAUGGGUACUAUAGGAAUUUAAGGAUCCCGAAUGCCCUUUCCUUAAAUCCGCCACCAAGUCAAAUAGAGCAUUGUAAUGACACUUUUUAUCUCCUCGUCUGUCGCUUAAUGAAGUAAAGAAGGUGUUUCAAAAAUGAAAUCUUCCAAUCAAUUUCAAAUUGCAUGUUGAUUUCUUUCUUGCUGCGAUUUUUGCAUUUUGAAACAAAAAGAUAUGCCCAUUAUCUGGGAUAGCGCCAGAUGGAUGUAAAAUCCUCAGUAUACACAGCAGUGCUUUGUCUGUUACCCCUCACAUUACAAGCCAUGAUGCUAUCCUCAAAAUAGAACGUCAUAGCAACAGGGCAGGAUCAUCUUACACAAAGAGAACUAAGUAAAAUUAAACCAGACUAUCUUAUUCUAAGCUUUUAAGGAGCCUAAACAACGUAGCUGCUUCUCUCAUCCUUGAAAACUCUAUACAAAAGGCUUGGACUUCAAUAAAUAGAUCCUGGACUGCAUUCCAAAUGGGUUCGACAGCAUUUAGUAAAAUUAGAUCAAUGAGAAUAAAUCAAGGUUUGAAGGAUGAAAGCUGCCAUAUGCACCAGGUAGUUAACACUUUAUAUUUAAAACAGAUCUGUUUGGGUGCAUAAAAUUUGAAUUGAACUUUCAUAUUAAUCGAGUCUUAAACUGAAAAUGGAAAAGGAAACUUUGUGUGCCUUUGAAAAUAUUCGAAUCACAACAACCUGUUACGGUCCAGAGUCACCUGGAAUACUAAUUCCAAGUCUAAUGUUAUUUCAGGUGACUGAAAAUUUAGCUUGCAGGAUCACUGCAUACCUGGUAUUCUAACACCAAUGAAAUUUUUGCCUUUAAAUCACCUUAUACAUUUGUUGACUAGCACGGAAAAUAAUCUAAUAAGAUAUCUAAUGUAAAUUUUGCAUGUGCAAGGAAGUGUAAGUUACUCAAGCGAGGAAAUGUUCAGAAAGGAAAGAAUUUUGACGUAUAACAAAACCCCCUAUAAAUCAAAAUCAACAGAUGAAAUAAAUUAUCUUCCGUAGAGUUAAGUUUUAUUCAAAAACUUUUUGACUCAGCAAUGGUGUCAUUAAAAUUUUUAACUGAAGGUGAAUCUAUGUUCUGUAAUCUGCCUCUUAAUUUGGCAGAUAAUUUCAUCGAUUCUCCUAAACAGCUUGUGCGAACCAACCAUUCAUGAUUUUCAUUAGCAUUCGUGAAUCAACUUGUACAUGAACCAUCCAUGACAUGCACAGCUUAGUCCCCUCUUUCUUUGAGUGUUCAUUAUUGCGGUUUACUGAAAAUGCUUAUAUGCCUGCGACUUUCCUCACAUAAACAAAAUAUACGCUGAACUUUCAUUCUGCACAACAGAUUGAUGACUGAACAUCCUAGGUCUCGAAUUGUCCACAAUUGCAGGUAUUGCAGAUGAGGCUUUACUGAAAAUCUAUUUUGGACCAUCAUAGUACCUACCAAGAUGCUUUAAUUUUCAUGCAAAAAGAGCACUCCAUCUGAUAGCUAUUUCUUUGCACCUACUUGCUUAUUUUCUAUGAAUCAACAUUAAACCAGGCAACUGGCAACACCUAUGAAUACCAAGCCAGAAUCAUGAUGAAUAGGUCAAAAUUUACGGGUUUCAAAACGGGGUUGAAAAAAUGGGGAAGUACAUCAAAGAGUAGAGAGGACUAAGAACCUUGGUGUUCUCACACGAAGAUAUGCAGUUCGUUAUAUACAAGUGAAUAAAUUCAGUUGGUAGUUCGACAGCUGUAGUAAGCCUGUUAACCACUUCCAUUGAAUGAAGGCUCAUAUCCAUACUGACAAUAACAGUAAAAUAUCUGCAUUUCAUAAAAAAAAUUUGUUGUCGGAACACUAAUAAGAUUAAGUUUCUUAUACUGUAACGUAAAAAGAUGAACAUACUCUUCAAUUUCAGGUGAAUUUGCAGGCUUAAUGAGAACUUCAACUGCUAUGACAGGAUUAUUCUCCACAAUUUCCUGAUAACCAAACAAAAGAACACUCACAUUCAGGAAAUUAACACAUAGAACACAUCGAUAUGCCUAUAAAAUAACAUACUGGCAGCUUUCCUGGUGUCAGCCCACAGUGAUAUACGUUAUAGUAUAAGAAAGGAUUUGUUACUAUUAAUUUGUCAACGAUUUCUUAUUCUAGAAGCAAAAAUAGGCUCUGAAAAGAAGUCUUUCCCACAGUAAUGAAUAGGCCUCCACAUCAGGUUCAUGUGGUUAUCUAAAUUCACUGGACUCAGUAUUUCAUACAGCAGACAGUCCAAUAAUUCUUAGCACUCCGUAUAAAAGUUAACUGAAAAUACUCUCAGCUUUCCACUGUCACUCAAUAAACAAGUCAAAAAUGCACUUGAUGUGCAUACUGCAUAGCUGAACAAUCUUAGCAUAUAGCGCUAACUGUAAAUAUCCUCUGGCAAAUAUGGAAGACGAGGAACAGGAAAGCUUUUGAUGAAAAAGAUGCAGAUCCAAGAAAGUCAGUACAAAAAGCUAUGGUAGAAUGGAAUGAGUACAUAGAAGCCCAAAAAAGUUUAGAUGGAAAGUUCAUUCAACAAACAACAAGCUCAAAUAGAAGCGAGGAAUGGAAGCCACCCUCAAGAGGACAGAUAAAGAUAAAUUCUGAUGCUGCAUUUUCACAAAACAUGAAGAGAACAGGCAUAAGUGCUGUGGCUAGGAAUGCAGAAGGAAAAAUGAUGAAAGCAUGGGCAAGAGCUGAACUAAAAGUUAGCGAGCCACAAGUGGAGGAAGCAGCAGCAAUUCGGAUGGGAAUGCAAAUGGCUUGCGAUGCAAACUGGAAGGAAGUAGAAUUCCAGUCUGACUGCAAGGAGGUAGUGGACAUGAUCAACAAGGAAAAGGACCAUCAUACCAGGAUAGCUACUGUCCUUGAAGACAUUGCAAAUAUGAGAUGUUUGUUUGAACAAUGUACUUUUUCUUUUGUUCAUAGAGCUGGAAACAGCUGUGCACAUAGCUUAGCAAAAUUUGCGGUAAAGCUAACUAAAAAUGUUGAAUGGGAAGAGUGUUUUCCCAUGUGGAUCCAUGAGAGUGCACAAAAGGAUUACAAAGGGAGAAAUUCUGAUGUAUCCAAUCUUGUAAUAUCAAGUUCAUGAAAUGAAGUGAAUUUAUGAUGUUUGACCCAAAAAAAAAAAAAGAACAAUCUUACACAGUGCAUGAUUAUUUAAAAUUGACCAUUAAUAGAGCACAAACAAAAUCCUGAGAACAACAAAUACAAUGAGGAGAAGACAUAUGCAUACUUACAGUCACAAGCACAAAACUGAACGGGUUAGAACUAGGCUGCUGGGAAGAAUAUGCCUGGUGGAGAAUUGCAAAUCCAACUAGACGCUGUGUUGGUCUUAACACUUUACUCUGCAAUAACAGACCAUACAACCAUUGAUGAUUGGAACUCCCCAUAUUAGGAGAUUAAAAAUGGCAAGAAAAAAAUUUAACCUUCUUAUUUUCGUUUUUAUCCACAAGCAAAAGAGAAGAAAAAUAGAGCCAAAUAUCAUUCUUCUAUCUUUGUUAACAAUCCCUGACACCCAUGUACUAACAGAUAUCUUUUAUGGAGAAUAAGUAUAUUGUUGAAUUUUAAAACCAUAUUUGAAUUAUCUAUCCGACUGAAUAAGUCAACUUCCUUUCUCCCAAACUUUGAACUACUUAUCCAUUCACCAAUUACUUGAUUUCCUUCAUAGCUGCAACAACAUCCACUAAACAGAUCAUUUCGGCGCAAAUUUUCAUCCUGUAAUUAAGGUUUCAAGGAUUCCAGCUAGCUUCCCUCAAAACAUUACCUCCGAUACAGCCAGAUCCUCAAUGAAAUCCUAGGUACGAGAAUAGGAAAUUAACAUCUUAUUUUAUUAUUAAUGCAGAAAGCGCAAACUCCAUGUUCUCUGAAGACGCCGCUCGCCAAAACAAGUAGGGAAUGGAAAUAAACAUAAUGGUAGCUCCUCCAUUUUCCUUUUCAUAGUGUACUAAUCGCUGCCUGACAGUCUUGGUGAUAACCGCCCCCGAAAACAAAAGGAUUUAAUACUGAUAAUUUCAACAAGAAAUCAACAGGUAGCCCCAUCAUCUGAUUGCUGAAAAGGUAUUGACCAAAUAGAAUCAACAGAGUUCAGACACAGAUGCAUUAAUGCAGAACAUAAAAGGGCGAAAAAAAUCUAGUACAUAUCCUAAAUGAAACAAGAAUCUCAGCUGACGUCUCAAAUUGGCCAAGAAUAAUCUCUUACAUAGUUCUACUGCACCGUAGCAAUCACUUUUGAGGAAGAAGAACAGCAUUGUGUAGGGAAAACAGAACAACAAUCAAAUUGCAAAAUCAGCUUGGCAGAGAUCUAUUCAUCCAACCCAUUCGAAUAAGUACCACCAAAGAGCUUGGAGGCUCGUAUAUACACGCUUAUGAGAACAAAAAAAGGGCCACUACAGCUCCUUAAAUGAAAUCCCUAAACCAUUUCUUCUACAUGUACAAACAAAGUAUAAACAAGCCAAUCCUAUCUUCAAUGAAAGAAUUGACGAAAAUGGGCCUGCAUGGAUUUGUUUUGUCAUGUACAAACUAUCAAAAAAAAUGAUACGCACGUCAGAUUUUCUUUCUGUCUUCCAUCUAUUUCGCUUAACCAAGAAGUUACCAAAUUGUACAACAAGAAGAAGACCGUUCUGGAUCUUCAUAAAUCAUUCAACUCAUAUUUCUGCAUCCAUUGCCACAAAUAGCUCUCUUCGCAGCCAAUUCUCUUCGCCAGCAGAAGUAUAUAAGGUCACGGAAAUGUCAGCCAACUUCUUGCUGCUCAAUCGAGCCCUCGGAAUUCUCACUUGCCUUGGAGCUUGUUCAAUCUCAUUCAACUCAUCCAGAUUUUCAAAAUCAAUAGCAUUUGGAAAUCCGAGUGUCUUCUUGGGGGUGCUAUCUGCAAAAUGCCAUCGCUUUGCAAUCAAAGUCUGCAUUUUUGUUUAAGAAAUCCAAAUCCAAAUCAACCAAUGCUCAAGACAUGUUGAAGAAAGCACUCAAAUUUUAAAUUAAUUUAAUCCAUAGAGAUGUAUAAAAGCUUACCGCUUCUCUUAUCGAUUUUGACACAAAAAACAGCCUCUUCAAAUCAUCAUGUUCAACACCACACAAUGUCCUAAUCUGUAGGACAAAAAUAAAUCCCAAUCUUGAGUAAUAACAUUCAGCCCAAAAGGUAACCUUAAGAUUAAUUUCCUGAUGUGACCAUCCAAAAAAGCCCUCAUCUUUCACCAGUAAAGCAAAACGUAAUUAGUGACCGUAAAUGCAAAUGCCCCUAAGAAAGCGGCAUAACAUUCACUUCAACUCUUAAACAAUUAAAAAAGGGUUAUUAUCACUUUACCCCCUUAACGUUCGGUGCCACUAUCAAUUUCCUCCUUAACGUUAUCUUUUAGAACUAUAGCCUCAUUAUUAAUUUAUCCCAUAUAGUUAUUUUUUAUACAAUUUAUCCCACCAUUAAACCAACUUAGUAAGUUAAAAAAUUUUAAAAGAAAGUACCCUCCUCUUUGUAUAAUAAAAAUAAUAAAAAAUUUAGAAUGACUCUUUUCCUCUUUAGUAUAAAAAAAAGGUCAAUGUAUUAAUCUCUUUUUUCUUGGCAAUCUUAUUAAUAUUAAAAAAAAUAGAAAGAUCGUAAGAGGGAGGGAGAGGGGGGAGAGAGAUAGAUAGAGAGAGAGAGAGAGAGAGCUCAAUUCUUUUUUUUUUUUUAAAUACAAAUAUGAAAGAAUUAAAUACUUUUAUUAUUUUAAAAUUAUUUUAUUUUACUAUUUACCACCAAAUUUCAAUUCUAAUUCCAACAACCUUAAAUUAAUACGAUAACAUUAGACUUUUCUUUAUUUUUUCUUUGCAAAAUCUAAUUUUAUGUUUCCUUCUUUCCUAUCUCUUUUUUUCCUAGUAUUAAUAAGUAUGAAAAAAGAAAUUUGAAAAAAUCCUUUUAUUUUUAUAUUUUUGGAUCUCUUAAAGUGAAAAAAAAGAAGAAUAAUCAUUCCAACUUUUUUAUUUUUAAUUGUAUAUAUAAAGGUAAAUAUAUUUUUAAAAAAUUUUACCACACUAGUUAGAUUAACGAUGAAAUAAAUUUCUUAGAAAAUAAUGUUAGGAAUUAAACUGAUUAUAUCACUAUAAUUUAAAGGAAUAAAGUAACAAUAAAAACGUAGUAAUACUAUAGAAUAAAAGGAUAUUUUUGUCCAAAUUUUCUCAACAUGUUGAGUUGAAUUACUUAUGGAAGUGAAAUGACUAAAAGAUAACGUUAAUGGGUAAACUGAUAGUAGUGAUAUAGUUGAAUGGGGUAAAGUGAUAAUAACCCAUUAAAAAAAUUACUCCAUAAAACCAAGCUAAUGACAACCUUUCAGCAUAAUUAAAGUACAAACCGCAUAUCCAAAUAUGAUUUAACACAGAAAGCUUAAGAACAACGCUCAGUUAAAAUCGAAUCACACGUGAGAGGGACAGGAGUAGAGAUGUUUUGGUCGGAUUAUCAUUAUACCAUAUCCAGGGCCUCUAAGCAUAUGACGGAAUAGUAGUUCAAGUAAUACUUCCUCAUACUUCGUGCGCAACUAAUAUACUUAGAACAUUUUUCGCACUUAAAAGCUUAAAAAUAUGAUAGGUUAGGACAUUUGCCAAGGAGAUCUGUCUUUACAUGUAGACUAGUGCAGAAAAGAAAAAUUACUUCAAAGGAGCCUUCUAAGCUUUUUGGUCGGAUCAAGUUUUGGUAAAGAAGUAAGUCAAAACAACUAAAGAGAUUGACUUGGUCUCCGGUCGGGUUUGAAAGCAGCCACUAUUUCAAACACUUAAAAAUAAGCACUUAAAGUUUUCCUUUAAUAAUUUUGACUAUCCUUAUUUGGUUGGCAGAUUAGUCCCCGAAGAUGAUGUAUAAAAUAUGGAUUAGGGGAUACUUUGAAUCACUUCAACUUACUACCAAUUUGCACUAUGGUAUACUAUUUUUUCCUUUUUUGAUACUUUGCACGCUAAUUUUUGUGUCACGACUUAGUCGCUGAAUUUCGAAAUUUUCAAUCUUUAAAUUAGUAGUUGUCCUCUGGUUUUUUACUUAUUCAUCAAUAUUUUGAAGUUAGACACUUGAGAUUAAUUAUUGAGCAUUAGUGAUGGUUGUCUAAAUAUCACAUGUUCAGUCGUAAAUCAAAAUAUGAUCCAGGGAUACGCAAAGCCAAUUGCAUGGUCAUGUAAUGUAUACUCGUACGCAUAAAAUAGAUAAAUAAUUAAAUAAAAUGUUUGCACAUAUAAAUAGCAUCUUUUUUUUUUUGGUUCAAAUAAAUCGAGCAAAUUCGGAAGUUGCAGUCUGUACACCCUAUAAGCUUAAAUUUUAUUUUUUUUUUCUAAAUUUCCGUAUAAGCUUAUGUCAAUGCAUAUAUAGUCUGUGGUUUUUACUUUUUUUUUUAAAAAAAAAACAUUUGUGGGCUUUUGAGAAAAUUAACAGGUGACUUGUCUUAAAAGCCAAGGUAUAAAUUUAUUCAUAGUUUUUUUAUUGAAUGAGGGAAAAGGCAAAUAAAGCGAUCACAUAGUGUACUCAUAUUUUUUUUUUAAUUGGGAAUUUUCUCACAUCAUCACAUAUAGCUUCUUCCAUCAUUCAAUGAUGGGAAAAACGGAUAAAAUGUCUUUUUACCGAAAUUAAAACCAAAGAAUUACCCAUUUGCACAUAUCCAUUUUAUAGCUCGUGCGCUUGACGUGGCAUUAGUAAAAAAGAAAAGGUACUAGUACAAAAAGAGUAGGAUUAAUUUGUGACCAAGAAAAUAUGUCCCGAUGGUUAAAAGUAGUAGAUUGACAGUGGAACGAGAUGAAUUCUACGCACGUACGCACUUCCAAAGACAGCUGAAUUUUAUCGGUGUAUUAAAUAUCAGAAAAAGGAGAGAUUGCCCUGAAUAAAAAGAAGUAUAAACAAGAACGUUUUUUUAAUCAAAUAUCAACAAUAAUGUUAAAAUCAAGGGAUAAUUUCACUAACCUCCCUUGUAAUGGUAAUGAUAGGGCAAAACCCACCGUGUUAGACUUAGUAGCAAUUUUUUAAAUGUUUUAUAGCCAUUUGACUUUAUUGUUACCUUUUUUUUUUCCUUUUAAAUAACGGCAAUAAUAACUUUGGCUUCAAAUUUUGCUUAGGAUGAGUGUCAUUCUUUUAAGAAAGUUAUUAUAGCUUUUUUUUUGUCCUUGAGAAUGGAGGUAAAUGUAACUUUUCAAAUGAAAGGGAAAUUAGGUGAAAUUGUCAGAAAUUUCUAGAGAGGUUUCUGAAAUUAUCCCUUAUUAAAUCAAGAAAGAAACUGGAAUAAUUGCGACAGAUGUUGCAGUGCAAAUUGUGAGCUCAUCGGAAAGGUUAAAACCUUGGUGAAAUAAUCAAGCCCAUGCGGUUGAAGGUACAUAUAUUUCUAUUAUAUGCAAUGACUCAAAAAUUGGAGCAUCCAAAAGCUACUAGAGAUAAAAUGUUCAAAACUUUUUCCACUUUUAUGGCCUUUUUUUUAAAUUUUUACUUAACAUAUGAAAAUUUGAUUACAAAUAGCAAAGUUUAAAUUCUCAAGUGACAAGCUAUUGUAAAUUCUCAAGGACUUAAGAGUUAAAUUUUACUUAGGCUUGAGAUUAUGCUGUCCAACAUUUAAAUAAUUUAAUUGCUACAAAUAUGAUCAAUUGCGGGAACAUAUUCAGACCAAAGUAUGUAAAAUGAACACCAAUACGAGGCAUAACAUAUCUUGGAAAAAGUCAACAAGAAAUAAGGUCUACAUUGAAUAAAACCAAUAUGAUAUUGCUAGACUCGAAUCCUAUAAACGGGAGGAGCAAAAACAGGUUCUUUUUUGAUAGAAGAUGGUUGAAAAAAAAGGGACUGGAACAAGUAGUUUAGCGGGCAUGGGAGGAGGAACAAACAGGCUCUAAUAUGUAUAAAGUGCAUAGGAAGAUAGCAAACUGUAGGAUAGCUAUUCUGAAGUGGAGAAACAACUUCCAAGGCAAUGCUAGAAAGAAAAUUGAAAGCCUUAAAAAACUUUUGGGCGAACUCCAAAACAUUGAGUGUGAGGACAAACAGGAAAGAAAAAGGCUCUCAAAUUGCAACUCAAGGAAGCUUAUGAUGGAGAGGAGCUCUUCUGGAGCCAAAAAUCUAGAGUUCAAUGGCUAAAGGAGGGGGAUAGGAACACUCACUUCUUCCACUCGAGUGUUAAGGGUCGAAGGAAGAGGAACAGGAUGCAAAAGAUACAAAGGGAGGACAACUCUUGGACUACUUCAGAUGAGGAAAUUGGAGAAGAAGUUGUGAAGCAAUUUAAAGACCUUUUCAGUAGUAAGGGAGUGAAUCACUCGGAUAUGGUUCUAGAGGCAAUAUCACAGACACAUCACAGACCACAUGAACACAAAACUCACCCAGCCUGUUAGGGAGAAAGAAAUCACAGAAGCACUCUUUUCCAUGAACUCAACCAAAGCCCCUGGACCAGAUGGAAUGACAACAAUUUUCUUUCACAAAUUUUGGCACAUCCUCAAAUCAGAUGUCAUCCAAGCCAUUAAUAGUUUCUUCCAUUCUGGUCACAUGUUGAAGGCAAUGAACCACACCAUUGUAUCCCGGCCUCAUCCCCAACGUAGAUAACCCCACUGAGGUUAAACAAUUUAGGCCUAUAAGCCUUUGCAAUGUGCUUUACAAAAUCAUUUCCAAAAUUUUAUCAAACAGGCUGAAAAAAGUUUUGGAAAAAUGCAUAAGUAAAAACCAAGCAGCUUUUGUUCCUGGAAGACAAAUUUUGAAUAACGUAAUUAUCUCUCAUGAGUACUUACAUUUCCUCAAAAAUAAAAGGCAGAGUGCAGUGGUUUUAAAGUUAGAUAUGUCGAAAGCUUAUGACAGAGUGGAGUGGGGAUAUCUGGAAGCAAUCAUGACAAAAAUGGGAUUUUGUGAUACAUGGAUCAACUGGAUAAUGGAGUGCAUUACGACAGCUUCUUUUUCUUUUAACAUAAAUGGGAAACCUAAAGGUUAUGUGAUACCCUCAAGAGGAAUUAGACAAGGUGAUCCAUUAUCACCUUAUCUAUUCCUACUCAUUUCAGAAGGCUUUUCAAAUUUGCUGGCUCAAGCAGAGAGGAACCAAAGACUGACAGGGAUGAAGAUCAACAGACAUGGACCAUCAAUAACUCACCUCUUCUUUGUAGACGACUCUUUGAUUUUUUACAAAGUGGACAAACCCAAGCUGAAGAAGUGUAAAACCCACGAUUUUUGGCACCGGUUUUAUUAUUUUAUUUUCCCAAUUAAUUAAAAAGAUAAAAUUUGCUAGGUAAAAGAAAGAAAUGAAAUAAUGUGACGCCCCCCACUUCUCCCAAGGGCGAACCCAAGGGUAUCCGUGGGACGCUUGCCCAGCUCUCGCCAGGACUCAAGACAAUUCAAAUCGAACUUAACGAUACAUACCAAAUACUACGAGUCAAAAUAAAGAAAAGUCGCUUCCUUAACUAAAUAUUUAAAUCUUACAUCAUGUUCACAAAAGAUAUAUCAAGUUCCAAAAUGCAACCAUUAAAAGUCGACUACACAUUUACAGCCCCGAUUCUAAUCAAAAGUAUAAUCUAGUCGGCUUUACCAAAAUCUUCCAAUCCAACCUGUUAAGGAAAACAAACUAAUAGGAUGAGCCAAUACUCAGUGAGGCCAAGAAAACACACAUGCAAACACAUAAUCCAAGUAGCAACAACAAUUACAUUGUAGGUAAGGCUAUCAAAUUCGAAUAAUUCACAUUUCGAAUAGGAAAAAUAAACAAAAACAAUUCAAGGAUACUGUAGCUCUCAGGAGCUAAAUUCCACGCAGUUGAGUCGAAAUCUUAAUCACAUCUCACGUUGACACUCCGUCAACCACAUAAGUAUCAAAUCCGUAGAUACACCACUUUUCUUCGAAUCCCGUCACCGUUACACCCCCUUAUCGGGCCCGCUCAUCAAAGUUUUUGAUAAUACUCGAGUAUAUCAUGGCAAUACUGCACGAGUAAUGCCGAGCAAGAUCUCUCCAAUAGAUCAUGUUCUACGAAUAUCUCAUGGUUUGCUAAGCUUAUCGACCAAGCCCAUGCUGGCUCGAUUCGCAAAGUUAGCCAACGAGUUUUGGGCGUCCCCCGAAUAUGAAUACGAAUACGAAUAUAAGUCGAUGAGCAACGCUCAAAUCGACGAUUCCAAAUAGGAAUCACAAAUACGGAUCACAUAUACGAAUCACAAGUACAAAUCACAUCCACAUUACCAUGUACAAGUUGGAUACGAAUUCACAUAGCAAAAUUCGAAUAUAAUUUCAUUUGAAAGAGAACGAGUGCGAUAAAGUACACCCUCGUCUCAAAAUUUCAAAUUUACAUAACGGAUAAGAAACAGAUAACCACUUAACAACAAAUUCAUGCACUUGACACUCACAGUGAUUCAAGUAGCGAGUUCAAAUGAUGGUUUAGGCGUCUCCCGUGAGAUCCUCUGGAAGGUCCUCUUGAGCGCCUGAGCAUUUAAUAGUGAAUUAUCAUUCACACAUCCCAAUUAUCAAGGAAGAUUGUGCACUAGUACAAUCUGGGGAAAUUUCAUGAAAAUGAACCUCAAUUACUAGUAAAUCGAGGUUCAAGUGGAGUUUCUUAAUGUACAAGAGUAAUCGAGUUUUGUUAUCUUGGAAAUCAAGCAUAAACGUUCAAGUAUUAUCGAAGGAAUAAGGAAUACUUGAAAAACUCAUUUCCUUGAAAUUCAGAAAAUUUCAGUUUUGAUACGAUAUUUUGAAAAAAAUCGUAUCUCAGAUUUCACAUGUCGAAAAUUGGAAAACUUGGUACCGUUGGAAACCUAUUCCAAAGUACUAAAAGUUCUUAGAAGACACUUUUCCAUGAAUCUAAGUGGAAGGUGUUCAAAAAUGAGCUUAAAGUUGCUGUUCCAAAUCACCCAGGAUUGAGCCGGGGUUGGUUUUUCGCUAACUUUAAAAAUUCAGCAGAAUUCACUCGUUACAAACCAGCCCUUGAAAUUUGUAGCUCAAUUAGAGGUGCAAGUAAGGUUUAGGGUAGAACAAGCGGAUCGAGAAUCGGAGUUUCGAGCACCAAGAUAUGGUAGUUCAAAGUUGGGUAAAUUUCAAGACUGUUAACAAAUUUCCAGAUUUGGUUCCGACUUUGGACCUUUAGUUAAGUGUCGAAACGGAUUUGGAUUGAUACCAAAUUUUGCAGUAUAAUACUCCUAUAUGAAGGGUAUCUCUCUAUCAAAUUUCGUGGAAAAAAUACCUUCGGAAAGGUGGUUAACCAAUCAACCAAAGUUUGGAAAAAUUCUCAAGGCAAUCUGCCCUUAAUCCUUUUCUUCCCAAAUCCAAUCGUUUGGCUAAGAAAAUCCUCCAAUCAUGGUUCCUAUGUGAAAAUAAAGUUUAAGAAACAUUCAUGGUACAUUUGGUAGGUGUUUAGCAUCAAGAAAUUCAUUUAGUAAGACCACCACAAAUGUCACGUCAAAUCUGUCCAAAUCCAAGGCUUUCAAGAACAAAACAGUCACCGUAUUUUGAUCAUAACUCACUCAAUUUAACUCGGAUUUGAGCAUGGUUGAUAGUGUUAGAAAAUACAUUCAUAGGGCUGUGAUUUCACAGAAGAAAACGUUUUAAGUUUCAGCAUGCAACUAGCUCGAAAUUAAGCCUAAAGUUGCAGCAUCAUCAAAUCAUUUCGGCAGAACGGAGAAACAGGACAGCCGACUUCAGAUGAAUGGUGUGGCUCACACACCUAAAACCAGAAUGUGCAUUAUACACCGUUGGAAACAUGGAAACGUCUAGUUUUAAAUUCCGCUAACGGCACUUGAUUUCGACGUCGGAGUACGGAGUUAUGGACGAAAUACAAACACUGGUCUGGAUUACGGCGAAACCGUUUUCCAGAUUACUAGUUUUUGAAAUAAAUUCGUUUGACCCACCAAACCUCAGUAUUUUUCAAUGAAAAUUUUUACACAACUACUACAACAUAUAAACAACACAAUCAAGCCAUUAAAUCCUCAAAUUUCUGCAUUAAAGUGACCGAACAGAACAGGGGUAAAAUGGGAACUUUUUGCUUCAAGAGUUCAACAACGUUUCUGGCCACAAUACACCUUUAAUCUACUUCCUUAAGCUCUAAUUCAGCAAUAAAACCAUCACCAAACAUCAUCACAGCCAUCAACCCAAAGUGGGAGUUCAUAGAGCCCACAUUUCCAACAAUACAAGCUACUAAAGUGAAGAUUCCAACUCAAAUGCAUAGAUCAACUUCCAUAAGACAAGUUCAAGGUGCUUGAUUACUACCUACUUUGAUGGCUGGUUUGGACAGAUUUUUCGGCCCCUUGAAGCUUGAAGAAACCGUGGAUAGCUCCUUCCUUUUGCAGCUAAGUUGUUGUCCAAGUGAAAAGCUAAAUGAAUGUGAAGUUUGGUGAGAAUCUAUGGAAGUUUUGGUAAGGAUUUGGAUGAGUUUUGGAAGAAAGAAAUGGUGAAGCUUCGGUUGUCCCUUGCAGCUGCUAGCCAUCCGUUGCAGCAGAAGAAAUGAAAUGAAAUGAAAUGCGGUUCUGAAGCCUUUGCGUACGAAAGACGCUUGACGUCAAAUCUUUUAAUACGUCAAAUCAAUUAUAACUAGUACCCUAAGCGCGCGUUUUGUGUUCGAUUUCUCUUACGUUUGUUGCACUAGUGCACUAAACCUCUAAGACACUUACAUUUAUAUAAAUAUUUUUCAUUCUUAAUUGUCCCAAAAUAAUGGUCCAAAGUCCCCCAAUUAAGCGCGCACGUGAAACCACGUACUUCUAAUUUAGGCGCAAUAAAAAUUGAAACCUUUGAGAAAUUCCUAUAACGAUCUUACCACUAACUAUCACUUCAAUAUUUAAACCUAAAAUUGCCUAUUUUAGGACCAUUGUAUAUGUCUUAAAUUUUUGAGCUUAUUGUACCCCUAAUUGGCUAAAGUUUUCAGACACGUUUUCACUUUUUCACUAAACAAGCUUCUAAGAAAAUAAUUUUUUUGAAACGAGACACUUUAAAAAUAUAACGAAGCUAUAAAACCAUAUAUUUAGGUCUAAUAAGGAUAGAAAAUAAUAUUCGGGCAAAAAUCCAAAUAGAUAAUUAAUUGAGCCAAAAUUAGGGGUUUAAAAAAUAAUAAUAAUUUUACGAGUCCUCACGUGAAUUGAGUAUUAAUUCCUCAAUUAACCUUUCUUAAUCUAUUAUUGAUCAUUCUUAAUUCUCCAAUAUUAAUACACUCUCGAUUCAAAUAUAGUCUCGAAAAAUGUGCACUCGUUGUUCCGAACUAAAUGAGUUUUCGAAAAGUGAAUUUUUCCAACAAAACGCUUUUAAAAAUGUAAAAGAGGCGUCGUUCCAUAUAAAUGGAUUUUAAAUGAUCAAAAUAAAUAAUUUGGAGAAAAAUGAGUAAAUAAAUAUUUAAACAAACUACUAAUAUUCGAUAAAAUAAAAAAGAAAUUUUCGGGUCCUCACAAAUAAUAUAAGGUAAUUGUAGGAUAGGGUAAGGGGUCUAAUAAAUGAAAACUCUUACCCAAGCCACCUACUAAUAAAUAAUGCUAGGUUUAGGAUUUUAUUAAAACUCUAGAUAGGAAAAUAACCCUAGCCUUACUUUUCUUUCUUCUGCCCCCUUAGAGCAAGAGCCGUCAGAGAGGAGAGAAAGAGAAGCAGGCAACACCUACAAUCGAUCCGACGACUAGGCACCUAAACCUGUAAGUCUCGAGUUCAAGCAAGAAAACCCCUCUUUUAAGUUUUAGUAGAUGUAUUAAUUGUUCUAGAAAUUUUAUGGACAGGUAUUGUUACUAUAUAGGUGUAGAUAUGUGUUUGAUAAGAUUCGUAUCUGGGUUAAUAGAAAUAGAGGGGAUUGAUUUUAAUCUUGAGAUUAGAGGGUAUUUGGAAUCUAUUAAAAAAAUGAUAAGGGAAAAGAAAGGCAGCGGUUGCUGCCGCUGCUCUGUUAUGCUGCAACGCCACGCGCACAAACAGAAAAGAGUGGGGGGCCGCCAUCUCCGGCGGCUGAGAAAGAACUUUGCAAAGGUUGGCCGAAACCAAGACCGAAGCAAAACAAAACAAAAAAAAAAGGGGGACAGCAACAACCAAACAAGUAGCAGUCAAGAAUGGCGGCUGCCAAAGCUUGACAAAAGCUUUGGCAAAGCAACGCCAGUGGAGUAACCCUACGGGAAAAAAAAUUCUUUUUUUAAUCAAUCGUAAUGACUAUAGUAAAUAAGUAAACAUAUAUAAAUAUGUAUAUAUAUAUAUUGGCAAGUAUGUGUGGGUUAAAGAUACAGUACGGGUUUAGUAAAUAUGCAGUAAAUAAAUUUUAGAAAAUAACUAGUCCAUCUUUAUAGUUUAUCAUAGGUAUUAAAAUUCAGGACCCAAUUUAAAAUAAUUGUUAGAAUUGAAAGGUUAGUCAUAUAAAAUUAUACUUAGUUAAUUACGUAUAAGGUACUUAAAUGGAAAUCUAAAACAUCUUAAUCUAGCCGUCUUAAGCCACAUCAGACAAGGUAAGGUAAGUGCUAAAUUGCUAAACGGAAUGCUUAAAAUAAUAAUAAUAAUAAUAAUAAUAAUAUAUAAUAAUAUAUAUGUGAAGAUAAAUAUAAUAAUAAUACUAGUGGUAGUAGUAAUAGUAAAUAAUAAUUAAUAAGACAAUGAUAGUGAGAAUAACAAUAAUGUGGACGUGGGGGAAAUAAAUGAAGAAUAUAAACAAAAAUAAGAUAUAAUUACGAGUGAAAUAAACUAAAACAAUUAUAGAAAGUCAGUAUGUAUAAGUGUAUGGGUAGAUAUAUAUAUAUAAAUAAUAAUAAUACCUACACACGCCUAAAAGUGGAAAUAAAGGGGAAGGUAAUAGUGACUACCUAAUAUAUAUAUAAGUGAUAAUAAAAUAAAUUAGCGAUGACGGGGAUGGUGAUAAUAAUAAUGGAUAAUCAUAUAUUAUAAAUAAACAUAGUAAGAUAGUAGUGAGGAUAAUAACCAGGAUUGUGAAUAAUUAUUUUCUAUUAAAUUAGGAAACUUUACAAAAUGAGCACUUUCCAAAUUACGAAACUUUCUAAAAAUAGAAACUUUUCAAAUUAGGAAACUUUCCAAAAAUAAAAAUCAUCCAAUUUGGGGCAAAUGCUAUUAGGGUCCAUAUAAUUGUCUAGAUAUGAAUACUGUACUUACUUAGAGGUUGUAUAUUUAUGCAUCUAUAGGAAGUAACAACUGAUUAGGGAACCUAUACAUUUGAUAGGUGCAAUACAAGAACCUAAGGUAGUUCUACUCGAGCAGCCAAACGAAGGUAGGUGGUACUUACCCUUCUGAGAUUUCAAAUGUGCAAAAUGAAAUUCUUGUUUCAAUACUAUUUUGUUGUGUUGACUCGAAAGGUGUUUGAUUAAAUGCUUUACUUGGAUAUUUAUGAAAGCUAUAUUUUACUAUACAAAAUGGACCAUGUAACUUAUUUAAAAUGUUUUGCUAUGUUCUUAUAUACAAAAUGAGCUGAAUCUUUUAUGAAAACAAAGAUUUGUGUAUAUGAUAUAUGAAAUGAAUUUUGACAAGUAAGGCUCAGGGUAGUCAUGGAAUAGACGGUAGGGGCUAUAGUCCUGUCUAAUCACCAUGGUAGCCUGGUAUAAAGUCCGGCCGAUUGGUAAAGUCAUGGUAGUCUGGUAUAGAGUCCGGCCGAUUGACAAAGCCAUGGUAGCCUGGUAUAAAGUCCGGCCGAUUGACCCAAGAAUGAAAUGAGAUCAAUCGAUAGUCGCGAAAUCUAUUGGUCGCCCAUCUAGAAGGGGUUUAAUCUCUAGGUUGAGUACUCAGUAGCCGGUCAUUACAUGUACUUGUUAUGAGUUGAACUGAAAGAAGGUUUAUGAGUUAAUAUGAAAUGACUUAUGGGCUGAUUUGAAAUGAUCUAUGAACUGAAAUGCAACGUUUUAUAGGACGAUUCAUGACUGGAUACGAAGAGACUUAUGAAUUGCUAUAAAGUGAUUUAUGACGUUACGAUUUCUCAUGUAUAAUUAUCAACGAGAUGCUUUUAAAUUGCUUGUCAUUCUUUACUACUGAUUGUUUAUAAAUGACGUUACUUUCAAAAUUAUGGAUGUGAAUGAUUUGCAAAUGAUUUGAGUUGUACUUAUAUAUAUAUAUGUAUCUAUAAAACUAAGAGUGCAUGGUCCAACAGAGGGGUAAAUAUUACCUACUGAGCGAUGUGUCGCUCAACCCACUUCUUACCAUUUUUGCAGAUUCUGAAGAGUAUGAAUUGGUUUACGUAGAAGACCCUGAGAAUGACUUUUAUUAGUUUAGAUGAAAAGAAGUGGGCAAGCUAGCUACUUCUAGUUGUUAGUUUUAUUUACUUUUAUUUCCGCUGUUUCAACCAAAGAAUAAAUGUAUGAACGUCUGGAACAUUUGUAGACUUUCUUUUAUACGUGGUUUGUACCGCACUUUAUUUAGUACCUUUAAAGUUAAAUUAGUUAAUGUAGCCUUGUAUUCUUGAGUGAGACUUGGGAGUACGGCGGAUGUCAUGUGACGGGCACGUACGGGCUCGGGACGUGACAUUUUUAGUGGUAUCAGAGCCUAGGUUACAUGGUUUGGGAGUGUGACAAAUUAUGUUGGGAUAUUAAUGAUUUUGGAAAUUGAAAGGAGAAAAAAAAAGAUCAAAAGAGAUGAGAUAUUGCUGUGACUUUUUAGUAGUACCAAAUCUUAGGUUAUAUGGUUCGGAGGUAUGUGAAAGGUUGAUUGGGAUAUUAGGGAUUUGAGGAUUGAAAUGAGAAAAAAAAAAUUAAGGCAAUAGAGAUUCUCGUGAUUUUUAAUGAUAUCGAAAUUUAGGUUAUGCGAUCUAGAAGUAUGUUAAAUAAUGUUUGUAAUAUUAGUGUUUUUAGGAAUUGGAAUGAAGUUGGAUAGAAGGCUAUGAAAUAAGAUAUUUCCAUUACUUAGUGAUAACAGAGUCUAGGAUACGAUUUACUCUUUAGAGGAAAUACACACUAGGAAAUGAUUAAUUGUGACUGAAUAAAUAGGUUUGGAAAUUUGCAUGUGUGAUUUAAGUUGAAAUGGUACUAUAGUUGUUUAUGAUGUUGAUUUAUUGGAUAUGAUUUUGAUUGUGCAUUUUAAGUUUAAGAUGUCGGAUGUGUAGGAAAUAUUAUAUAUAUUUGAAGUAUUGUCUGCAGGAAAUUGAAAGUACCAAAGAAUUUAAGUACGUAUGCAAUACAUGUUGGACCUUGGAAUUUCGUUGACUUAUUUUGAGGUUUAGAUCUAAUGCUCAAGACAUUUAUUAAACAAGCUGAUAUUAUUAGUUCAAGUAUUAUUACAUCAUAAUCAGGCAAACAUAUUUUAUAAAUUUCUUACAAUAUAUAAUUUUACAUAUUUCUUUCCUAAAAAUGAAUAAAUGGUGAAACCAAAAUUUUAUUUGUGCAAAUAGUUUUUAAUCAGAAUUUUUAAAUAUGUACCUUUACCUUGCAGUUGUUUGGUAAAUAUAGUUUCUAAAUAUAUAUGUAUAUAUCUAUAAGAAAAAAAAAGAAUCAAUACAUUAAAUAAUUAUAUCCUAUAAUCCUGUGCAAAAUAUUUUUUUAUAUAUAUAUUCACCCAAUCUCAAAAAGGGCUUUAGCUAAAUGUAUUCUGCAAAAAUAUAUAUAUAUAUAUUUCUUAUCGUAUAAAAAAUUUUUUUUUAAAUAAUUCUUGAUAAAUUCUCUUUGUAUUCUAAAUUCUAAUGAUGAAAGAAGUAUAGUUAGUUGACUUAUGUAUUUCAAAACACUUUCAAUUUUCUAAACUUGUGUGAGUUUGAAAUUCUAUGCAUAGAUAAUACUUUACCAAGGUUAUGAUAGAGUUAUUAAUUUUCUAUAUGAGAAUUUGGUAUUUUUUUUUGUAUAAAAUUUUCUGUAUUUUUGUAUCAUCAAGGAGUUUGUGAAAUGAUAUUUGAGAUAUUUUCAAAAAUUGAAUUGAGCUAGGAAAAAAAAAAUGACCAAAGGGAAUGAGAUUCCCAUGGCAUUUAGUGGUAUAAUAACUUAGGUUAUAAGAUCUAAAAAUAGGAGUGAUGCUAUUUGAAAUGAGAUAGAUAUCAGAUUUGAGGGAAAUAAGAGAUUUCCAUUACCAAUUACAGUGGGCAGGAACCCAUAUGUCGAGAUAAUGACUACUUUUUGUGAUAGUGGAUAAAUAAGUUGUGAUAGAAUGUGUGACAAAUGAAGAAAUGGUACUAUUAGUGUCUAUGGCAUCCUUUCUAUAGGGUGAUAUCUAUAGAGCGUUAUAAGCCAAUAUUUAGAAUGUUGGAUUGGUGAGAGAUAUUAUGUUCAUCUUAAUUAUAUAAAUAUGAAGAUGGGAGGUAUUGAGGAAAAUAAGAGUGCGUAGCAGAAGCUUGAUGGAAUUAAAUAAGGAAAUCUAAUUUAGACAUUAUAAGAAUAAUUCCCAAAAUGUUUUGUAAGAGCAUUGAAAAUUUUGUUAACUUAUUUUAAUGUUUAUGUCUUUUAGGUUUUGAGGACGAAACCUUUAAAGGGGGAGAGAAUGUGAUAUCUAGUCUAAAAAUGAAUUGCGAAAGUAGUGUCGAAUUAGGAUCCUAAAUUCACGUCUAGAUUUUGAUCGACCUACCAAGAUAUUAUGGGGACUGACCCGAGACUAAAUACCACCUUCCACUCCCAAAUGGAUGGACAGUCAGAGAGAAUUGUACAGACAUUGGAGGACAUGAUAAGAGCUUGUGUUCUAGACUUCUCGGAUAAUUGGGAUGGGUUAGUAAAACUAAUGGAAUUCUCAUACAAUAAUAGCUAUCAUAGCAGAAUAGGUAUGGUACCAUUUGAAGUGUUGUAUGGACGAAAGUGUAGAUUUUUCUUAUAUUGGGAUGAAGUAAGUGAAAAACUAAUCAUUGGCCUCGAUUUGGUGGAACGAACUUUGGAAAAGAUUAAGAUUAUUCGGGAAAGAUUAAAAGUAACUCAGGACCGAAACAAAAAGUUGGACGGACUCAAAAAGGACACCUUUAGAGUUACAACCAGGAGAAAAAGGUAUAUUUGAAAGUAUUCCCUGUGGCGACCCCACUUCCCCCUAAGGCGAACCAAAGGGUUGGCAGGCCGUCUGCCCAACUCUCGCCAGGACUCACGCAAGCAACACGCAAGCAAUCUAACCCAAAACCUUUCGAAGAAUAACCUAAUCUAUUACAAAACAAUUCCUCCGAAGUAGGCCGUCACUAAAACCACAUUAACUUCAGAGAUAGCAGUAAUUUAAAAUAGCCAAACGACGGCUCCUAAACAUCUCACGCAUUGCGAACUGCGGAAUAGAAUCGUACCGUCCCAACUAAGCAAAAAUUCAUACAACAAAAUACAACAAUCAAGCCAAGCAUCCAAAUUAAGUUUUAUACAUUUUCCAUCUUCAAGUGGCAAUCCAAAAUAAAAAGUACAUAAUCCAAAUUUAACACACUACAGCCCACACAAGUAGUCAUAGUAUACAAAUACAUCCCAAAACGAAACAUGGAUAAGUUUCAAAGCUUUCAAUUUCCAGAACCUGUCAAGAAAAACAAAUAAACAUGGGGUGAGCUAAAGCUCAGUGGUGCCCCAAAACAUGCAGUCACGUAAAUCAAACAGCGAGUAAUAACUUAACCAAAUUGAACAGUUAGGAAAGCGUAUAACAGCACAAGAUAGGAUACAGGGGCUCUCAGGAGCCAUUUCCCUCGCUUGAUCACCAUUCAUCGUAGUUGACCCUCUGUCAACUCUCACUACUUAUGAUCCAUGUAGAGUGUCUCAUUUUGUUACCUAACCCGUCACCAUUCAUACCCCUAUUCCGGGCCCGAACGCCGACUAAGGAAGCAGUAUACUCGAGAUAUACCCUUAGAUAAUUGGAAGCAGUAUACUUGCGUAUACCCUUAGUUAAUUGGGAGCAGUAUACUUGAGUAUACCCUCAGGAAAUUGGUCGAGGGAUUCACCCAGCGACAUUUCCGUAGUUGGAUUCAGAAGUCGAGGGAUUCACCCAACGACGCAACUACAUUUAGAUUCAAGGAUUCAUGAGAAAAAUGUUUCACGCAAGUCACCACUCGAACGGCUAGUGCGAUAAAGUACACACUGCUCACUUCGAUGGAUCAAAAGCUAGUUUUGCAAGUUAUCACAUAUCGAGUCAAGAAAGCACUUUAAUCAAGUAGGAAUACAACAAGCAGGGACACUCACCAAGAGUGAAGUUACUGAUCAAGCUGGGAAUCAAAAUCUGCGUCCUCGCUAAACCCUAAAAACCAAAUUUUUGAAACUAUAAGUUCUCUAUUCAAUUUUUAAGCUUGUACGUAUUGUGGAUUAUCUAGUAUUUUACUAAUUAACCUUCUCAAAGAAAUUUCAAAAACUCUACUUGGGUUGAAGCUUGGCAAAAGUAACAGAAAUGUUUCUUAUAGUUUUCCUUGAGGUACUUUUCCUUAUAAAAGGGUAACUAGUAUUAUUUUCUUUAAAUAAGUCGACAAACCACUUAAUGUCAAAGCUAGAAAGAUACUUUGAAAAAAUUUCUUUAACGCUACGGUCCUUGCAAAAAUUGUCCAUAAAAUUAUAAGGUUUCUUGCCUAGCAAGUUUCUACGUUUUUAAUUAAAGUUAUUAAAAAUUCGUAUUUUGGAACUUUUCCUAUAGUCAACUAUCCAACGGCAAAUCUUAAAGAAGGAAAAGGAAUUAAAACAAGGCUUAGGGUUUUCAAAUGCUAGAGAAAUUAUUUUCUAUAACUGUUAAGGCUAGUUUAAGCUAAAGGAAAAUUGUCGGGUUGGAAUAAUUUAGGCAAAAUACUAAGUACUGCAUUUCAUCAUUUAAUACUAGUGAAAAAAAAUAUUUUUGGAUUAGCUUGAUCAAAAUUACUCGAGUUUACAUGGUCGAAACGACUUUCAAAAUUUUGAUUCCAUUUCGAAAUCAUAUUCUAGAUCAAAUUUGUCGAUAUGGCAAAAUCAUAUUUCAAAUAGCAAAUCACUAGGGCUUCUUCAAUCAUUUGCCCUAGAUUUCAACAGAUUCAUUUUCAAUUGAAACAAAAUAUAUAACCAAGGCUUCGCCAAUCAUUAGCACUUGGUUUUGGCAAGCUCAUAUCACAUCUUAACUUAAUCAAAACAAAGCUUAAAGGUUCGCUAAGCAUAUUAGGCAAGUACAUCACCAAAUCAGUUCAAAAUCAAGGUAGUAAGCUGCCCCAAAAUUUGGACAGCAUAACCCCUGUUUUAUCCUAUAUUUCCUCUCCAAAUUCAAUACAAAAUUUCAUGGCCAAACCAUCCAAAUCAAGACCACAAAUGAUAGGCUAUACAAGCUACUAGUUUCAGACCAUAAAGCCACCAAAAAUAGACAAGUAUUCAGCUCACAUAUCUCCAUACCAAGGCUGGCCGUCAAGCAAAAGUUCAACUCCACAAGCUUAAAUUUCCAUAAGCAAACUAAUGGAACAUAUGCAAGUUGGAAAAAUUACAUGACAUGGCUAAAAUAUAUAGUACACAUGAUAUUAGCAUUUUAAUACUCAUUUUCAUUUUCCUUAACUAAAACGGGAAAUUUAUUGCUUGGGACAUGAAAUAUGUAAAAGUGAAGUUUUCACCUCUCAAAACCUUUCAUUUUCUAUUCCAAUUCACUACUCAUACCAAAGUUAAUGUUUAAUCACGUGUUUAGGACAUUAACAAGUUGAUUUCACCACACAAAACCAAGAAUAAAGCUAAAUAAAAUCACUCUCUCUUUCAGUCAGCCUCAAGGAGAAUUCCAGCCAUGAAAACAGUGAAAUAAAUGGAGUUUAAAUCACUUAAGGUCCAUGGUUUUGGUUCAUUUCCAACACAUACUUGUAGUUUAAAGUCUUCUAGGGUGUUUUGAACAAAUUGAGCUUAAAAUCAUCUUGAAAAUUUAGCGAUCAAAGCUAAAAUUCCAGCAAGCAUUCUUUCUUUAGAAAAAUUAUAACUUAAGUUAUAAAUGUCGAAAACUCAUACAAAUUAUCUCAUUUAAAACCAGACUUGAAUACUAACAAUCUUUAGCAGACAUCUCAAGGAGAUUUGGUUCAUAAGUUAAUCCAAAUUGAGUCACAAGUUACCACAGCAUCCCAAUUUUUACUUGUUCAGGACCGAUUUUUCAGUCAACUUUGCUGAUUUUCUGGUGCAUAUAUAAAAUGAACCACAGCUCCAAUUUUAUACCAUUGGAAAGAUCUAUGAGUCUAGUUUCAAACGCAAUUGACGGUAUUCAAUUUUGAUUUUUCUACGCUAAGUUAUGAUCAUUUUGCUAAAACUGCCUAGAGGUGACUGUCACCUGAAGUUCAAGCUUUCUUAGACAAUUUUUCAGCCAAAUCAAUGAACAUACAACUAUGAUUCAACCAUAUAAACAUACCAACUUCUAUAUACACAGUUGUCAUGAUACAAAACAUGAAAUCUUUGUAAAACUUCACUCCAAAUGCAAAGUACAACUGAUAUAUCCGGCUUUAUGCAAUCAGUCAGUCCAUGCUCAUUAACUUAACAGAUUUUCAAGCAAAGUUUCUUCACAAAUCAAGUUUUAUUUCUCCUGAAGGUAAAGAAUACAAUAUGUGCAGGUCCUAGAAAGAGAAAUAGGAGAUAUAUACGGUAAAUUUAAAUAAAUUGCAGCAAGAUUUCUUGGGAGAAAGGAACCAAACUUGCAGCCUCACUCCAUUGGUUUCACAGGAGUUAUUCAACUUUGUUGCUGCCAAUUUUCUCACACGUAAGCCACCAAUUUGCUACCAAAAUCAGCGACAACAUGCUAUAUAUCAUACUAAACAAGAAAUACAACACUUAUAGCAUGAAUUCCUAGUGGAAACUCCUCAAAAGGUUGAAAUAAGAGGCUGUAAAUUGAACUCAUUUCCCCCUCGGUCAAAGCUGGAAAUCUUCAGCAUAUAAAUCAACUUCUAAUGAGGGUACUUUCCCACCAAAUUUCCAUUUCCAUGGCUAGAACUAACAUGCAUCAAUCAUCUCACUGUGUCCUGAGAAAAAUGGAAAGUUUGGCUAGCAAGUUUACCUUUGAUCUUGCAAGAAUGGAAGCUGCAAUGAAACUUAUAGCUUCAACUUCUUUCCCCACGAUUUUUUUUUUGAGCUGGAAAUUUCUGCCUUUCUUCCCCAAUUCUUGGCUAGGAUGCGUUAUAAUUUUCUUGUUUCUUGAUUGAUGUUCAAGAUUGAAGAAAAAGAAAAGAGGACUGGUUGGAGUUUCUUUCGGUUUCUCUCAGCUCUUCUCUCUCGGCUGCAAGAAGGAGGGGAAAGGAGCUCUCCCUCUUAUUUCUCUCAGCUUUUCUCUCUUGGUUGGUGUUAAAAAAAAAACAAAGGACCAGUCUUGUUUUUGUUUUCUUUCUCUCACUCGGUUGAACUGAAGAAAAGAAGCAAAAGGGAGUAAAUUUGGUCAACAUUUGCAUGCUACUUGGAAUGGUCAAAAAUGGAGGCAAGGAGCAAGAUAUUUUGUUGAGCAAUAUCUCUCUCUCUCGGUUGGAAAUGAAGACAAAACACACUAGUUUCUCUCAAAGCUCUCUACUUUCUUUGCUGGACAAAUGAAAAAGACAGGUCUCUCAACUCUUCUCUCUCUCAGGCCCAACAUGAAGUGAAGAAAGGGGAAAAUGGCUCUCGAUCAAGCUGAAUAGAAACAAGAAAGAAUGGAAGCUGUUUUGACUCGGUCAAAAUUUGUGGCUGGUCAUGCAAUGAGCAAACUAUCCCUCUCUUGGUUCCUUGGUUAAAUGAGCUGGAGUUUCUCUU